ACAGUUUCCGAUAUUUCGAUUAUUAUUUUCUUUACAUCAGAAAAAAAGAAGACAGAUAUGAGCUCAAGAACUGGGGCUAAGGUGCCGGUCAUAGAUUUCUCAAACCAGAACCUGAAACCGAGCAGCCCUGAAUGGGAUUUGUUGAAGUUCCAAGUCCGGGAAGCAUUGGAGGAGUACGGCUGUUUUGUGGCCUCGUUUGACCAACUCCUGGAGCUUCGGCAGCCAGUUUUAGGGGCCUUGAAACAGCUAUUUGACUUGCCUUUCCAAACAAAACAGCUUUGUGUUUCCGACAAACCCCUUCGUGCCUAUCAUGGGUCUCAAUCAAGAUUGUAUGACAGCAUCUCCACUGAUGAUGCACAUAUUGCUGAAAACAUUGAACAAUGCCUCACAACCACUUUGUGGCCUCAAGGAAACAUAAACUUCAGGUACUUCCACUAACUUGCAAAAAACCCUUUAGCUAAACUACUACACUUUUAUUGAUUAUCUACUCUGUAUUUGGCAGUAAAACUCUGGCAUCUUUCACUCAGCUAGCAUUAGGAUUAGAGAAGACAAUUUUGAGGAUGAUUUUGGAGAGUUUUGGCCUUGAGAAAUACAUGGAUGAACUUUCGGACUCAACAAAUAAUCACCUGAGGGCAAUGAAAUACGGAAGGCCAAACACCAGCGAGCCGACCCUUGGGAUACCUCCGCACUGUGAUAAUACUAUAUUGACUCUUUUGUCUCAAUUAAAUGAGGUUCAAGGAUUGGAGAUCCAAAACAAAAAUGGCGAAUGGAUGAAUUUAAUUCCUUUACCCAACUCUUUCGUAGUCAUGCUUGGAGAAUCCUUCAGCGUAAGUCACUUGUAUAUAAAUAGAUCGACUUAAACGAAAGCUCAAGGUAGAUUGAAAGUAAAUUUUGUACUGUUGCAGAUAUGGUUGAAUGGUCGACUGUCUUCUUGUUAUCACCGCGUACUGAUGGAGGGAAACGAGGCUAGGUAUAGCAUCGGAUUGUUUGCAAGGCCAAGAGGAGGGUACCUAGUAAAGGUUCCGAAAGAGCUUGUUGAUGACAAAAAUCCGAUGCGCUUCAAACCCUUUGACCUGGAAGAAUUUUUGAAAACUUUCUCCCCCCAGAUUGUUCAAGGACGUGGUAAAUCUGCUCUUAAAGCUUACUGCAGUGUUUAAGAUUUGGGCAUAAAUAAUUUUAUAUAAAAUAAAUAAUUCGUGGUCUCUCUGUAUGUAAUAUAAUAAAGGCUAUUCCAACUCAACAUUGAAGUUGCCCAAAUCAACUGUGUGCUAAAAGGGUUGUAAAAGUGGUAACGAUGGUAACGACAAAUUACAUAUUUCAAGUGUGUUUUUUCUUUUCAAGAAUAAAAAUAAACUGAUAUAUAUUUUUAUAUAAUACUUAAAAUUAUUCAUAACUUUUUUCUCGGCUCAUAAAUAGGAAAAUAAUGUGCUUCAGCGCACUCGAAUUUAACGUCCUCAUGUACUAACAACAAUACCAAUACAAAUCAAAACUAAGACUCAAUUGGCAAAAUGAAGUAAUACUUUUUUGGUCUUACUUUUCAUAUUUCAAAUAUUACAAUUUAUAUAAGUUUUACUUCUCAAUCUGUAACGCCCCAAAAUUUUAAUUUUAGGUAUUGUGAAUGUGCGACACCAACAUCUAUUAGCUUUAGUAGUUAUGUGUUCUGAGAGUGUUUGGGAGGUCCCAAGUUUAAGCCAGGACUUGAGCAAAUUUUGGUAUUUUUAUGAAUAAGCCCUAUCUUUGGUCAGUAGACUUUUAAGUAAAAGUUGACAAAUAAUUAAUAGAAUGGGUUUGCUGGUUUGGUGGAUAAGUAAGGUGUUGGUGUGAGGGAGAUCAUGGGUUCAAAUCUUAGAGACAGUAAAGGUUGUAUUUUUUCGAAAAAAAAGUCGUUUUUCUCUCCCCCAUCUUUACCGAUUUUUUUUCUUAUUUGCUUCUUACUCAAUUAUCUUUUCUUUUCUUUGUUCUACUGCUGAAAUUCCCUUGUUCCCUCUAAACUAUUCUUUCCUCUUGAUUUCGUAGCGCUAAGCAGCCCUUGUGCAAAUUCAGUAAGUUGUUAGGUAUCAUUUUAAGAAAUUAUAUUGUGUUCAAUAGUCUAAUUUCGGGGUGUUGGCAGCAACAUUUCGUGAGGAUUAAGGCUCUCCUUGUAAUUUUCGUAAACCUACAGAUUUGAAGUUUUUGCGGUAAGUGUUCAUCGUUUUAUGAGUAAGUAUUUUGGUUUCGGGAUUUUGACUAAUCGCGAGGUAAGACUGAUUAUGAUGUUAUUUGUUCAAUUAUAGGUUUUGGAGUGCUCAGGGAUUAUUUUAGCAUCAAACAAAACAAGGUGUGUACUCAAAACACAAAAAUAAAGGAUUCAGCGAAAAGCUGAAAUUGUUUGCUGUUUGGACAACAACAGUAGGCUAAAUUUUAAAAAUCACCAUAAAUUGUGGAAAUUGAAUUAGAGGAUGAAAAAAUAUGGAAUUAAAGAUAUUUGAAUCUAGUUUCUCAUAGAAGAAAUGAAGUAAGCAAAAGAAUUUCAUAUUAUGAGAUAUUUGAUAUUUAGUGAGAUAGGGUCAGAAUGAUUUUGGAAUCCUUUAUCUUGACUUUGGAAAAUUAUUAAAAAUUGUAUAAAAAUAAUUAUGGGUUAGAAUUUAUAUUUUUAAAAUCUUGAAAUAGUCUAAUUUCAAGAGAAACAAACAAGAACAUUAGUAAAAUGAUGUACGAGAAGAUAAUUAAUUUUUAGUGCAAAAAGGUCAAAACUGUUAGAUAGCAGAACAAGGGAAAUUUUAAAAAAUAAAUUGUACUUAUUAGAUAAACCAAUAAUUCUAAAAAUUUUAUGGUAAAAAGAUAUGUGAGUUUGGUUUCAGAAAAAAUUUGCAGAUCUUAAUUCGAAAUUCUGUAGCUUGAGAUACAAAUAAUUUAGUAAUAGUGACUCAAGUAGACAGCUUUGAAGGAUCAUAUGAGUAAAUAGUGGAAACACAUAUGAAUAAUUAACUAGCACGGGUUACAUUAAAAUUGAUCACGAGGACAAGGCCAAUUUGGGUCAUGUGGGCCACACGGGUGAACAUCAUGGGCUUGUAGGCCCAUUUUCACUGUUUGACUGAUAAUGUUGCACGGGUCGCCCAAGUUGACUGUGAGCCUACUGUAGGGUCGGUAAGUUUACCUAGACCCCUAAUUGACUGAAAUGGCUUUAUGACUGAUAUGAUUAAACCUGAUGAUGUCUCACUGAUUUGAUACUGUAUGCCCUGUUUACAUGCCCUGUUUAAAGGCCUCGAGCCUAAUUUACUGGCAGCUCAGCUGCAAACUACUGUCUAGUACCGCAUUCGGUACUAUUUGGAGUGUAGGGAUGGGUGGGUUGUUUAUAUCCCCACAUGAAAUGUAGGGUUGGACGGAGAUGUGUACAGGCUGGAUGGGUAGGAUUUUUGCGAUUGUAUAUCUGUUACUGCUACUGAUACUGUGAUGGGCUAAGGCCCUACAGCAUGACUGCUUUUGUACUGAGAUGGGCUUAGGCCCAAACUAGACUGAUACUGAUACUGAAACAGACUUAAGCCUAGACUGUAAUUAUUUGUUUACUGUCUGUUCAUUUGUAUGGGGAUUACGCACUGAGUUUACAUAAACUCACACCUUUUGUUUAAUCUGUACAGGUAAUCCCUAGAUUUAGGCGAAUCGGUGCAGCGGUGGACUCAGUGGUGGCUACACGACUUUUUUUACACUGUUUAUCACCUAUUUAUGAUUUUACUUUUAUUUGGGAGUAUUUUGUUGUAAUUAUGGCCUUUACGGAUUUUGGUUUAAUUUCAAUUUUAUAUGGUUUUAUGAUUUAAAUCUACUAGUGUUAGGCAAAACUAUGGUUUUCAAAUGAAAUUAAUGUUUUAUCAAAAAUACCACGAAUACGCAAACUGUUUAAAAGGUUCUGCAAUAAAAAACAUUUUGAAAUUGAAUAACGAUUUGUAAAUGAAUAAUGUUUUGGAAACGAACGACACAAUUUGAAAUUAACAUAACAUAAUGAAAAAAAUGGUAAAAUAGAAAAGGGAAUCUAUUGACGACAUAUUUUUCGAAAAGCACUACCCUGUGACAUCGUCAUAUUCGGCUAUAACGUCUAGGCCGGGUUUGUGGUGUUACAUUUAGUAGUAUCAGAGCCAGGUUACAAAAUUCGAUUGUGGAUGUGGGUUUUUAGGACGUGAUUUCUGACAACUGAUUCCUAAAUAUUUUUAAUGAAAGUGUGGUACACCGAGUCUCCGGCGCCGAUCCAGUUAGUUUUCUAAAACUGUGAAUUGUUUAAACUGAAACUAAAACUUUCUUUGAUAGUAUAUCCUGAAACUGCUAUAGGUAGUAUAUACUGAGAUUACUAUAAAUAGACUAUAUUGAAAACACUUAAAAUAGUGUAUAUUGAGACUGUAGUAAAACUGAUAGACAUUGAUUGACACUGAGAUGUAUGAAACAAACUUUACACUUCUGAUACUUUUUUCAUAAAAUAUCUGUUAAUAAAUACUGGAACUAUAAACUGAUGCAUAAAAUUGUUAAUACUGAUAAAAUGUAAUUAGACAAUGAGAACCAAAGGUACUCACGGACGAGGUAUAAGAGGCCGUGGUAGAGGCCGUAGAGGUGCUCGAGCUGAGACUUCAUCAUUUGGUAAUCAGCCAAAUUUAGAUACGAGUGAGACGCUAGUGUAGCCUGCUACUGAGAUUGGGUCUCAAGAUUGCAUGGCUGGAGUCGAUGCAUUGUCUUAGGCUAUGCUAAGGAUUUUGGAGAGAGUCGCUGGGCCUAAUACUGGAUUUGGGGGUCGAGGGUCAGUUACGAAACAACUUCGGUCCAAUGGAUUGAGCUCUUCAGGGGUGUCACUGGGGUCGGCCCUAGUGUGGCCGAGUACUGGAUUGAGGCCACGGAGAGGAUCAUGGUGAUCUAGAUUGCACCCCUAAGCAGAAAUUAAAGGGUGUAGUCUCGCUGCUGCGGGGUAAGGCUCUUUAGUGGUGCCUGACUAUUAAGGAGGGCACUCAGCCCGAACGUCUAACCUGAGAGUUCUUUAAGGCCACCUUCUAGGGUAAAUAUGACAGAGCUAGUUUUGUGGAUGCACAUAGAAGGGAGUUUCUAAAACUUACACAAGGGGAUCGAUCAGUGGUUGAGUACACGGUCGAGUUUCUGAGACUGAGCCGCUAUGCGCGAGGUAUGGUGGCAUUUGAGUAUAAGCAAUGUGUCUACUUUGAGGAUGGAUUUAGAGAUAAUUUGAGAGUUCUGAUAGCCCCGCAGAGGGAGCGAGAUCUUUCUGCCUUGGUUGAGAAGGCAAAAAUCAUUGAGGAGGAUAUAGAGGUAGUCAUGAUCGGAGAACGUCGGAACUACUUGUCUAAUGUGAUCUUUGCACUGGUGGUGGAAAAGUUGGUUAGUAAGGGAUGUGAGGCAUUCUUGGCCUAUGUAAGUGUUUGAGAUUUUAGGAACUCUACAGUUAAGGAUAUUAGAACGGUAAAGGAUGUUUCGGGCGUCUUUCCUGAUGAGCUAUCGAGUUUACCUCUGAAUCGUGAAGUGGAGUUUGGGAUAGAGCUCCUUCCUGGUACAGCUCCGGUGUCCAUCGCUCCCUAUAGAAUGGCACUGAAGGAGCUUGUGGAGCUUCAGGCUCAGAUUCAAGAGCUUUUAGAUCGUGGGUUCAUAUGCCCUAGUGUGUCUCCGUGAGGAGCACCGGUUCUAUUUGUAAAGAAAAAGGAUGGAUGCAUGCAUAUGUAUAUCGACUACAAGCAAUUGAAUAAAUUGACCAUUAAGAAUAAGUACCCCCUACUGAGGAUAGAUGAUCGGUUUGACCAGUUUUGAGGAGUUUCAGUUUUCUCUAUGAUUGACCUUCGAUCUGGAUAUCAUCAAUUAAGCUUUAAGGAGGCUGAUAUUCGUAAGACAGUGUUUAGGACUCGUUAUGGUCACUAUGAGUUCUUAGUGAUGCCAUUCGGACUAACUAAUGCACUGGAAACUUUUAUAGAUUUAAUGAAUCGAGUGUUUCAGCCUUAUCUGGAUCGAUUUGUGGUGGAAUUCAUCAACGACAUACUGGUUUACUCGAGGGCUGAGGACGAGCAUGAUGAGCACCUUUGAGUCGUUCUUCAAAUUUUGAGGGAAAAACAACUCUAUGCUAAGUUUAGUAAGUGCGAGUUCUGGCUGCAUGAGGAGACAUUUCUUGGUCGUGUAGUUUCGUCUGAGGGGAUUCAAGUUGAUUCUUGAAAGAUUGAGGCCGUGUUGGAAUGAAAGCAACCUAAGAACAUGUCUGAGAUCUGUAAUUUUCUAGGACUGGCGGGAUACUAUUGAUGAUUUGUAGAGGGUUUUUCAUUGAUUGCAGCACCCUUGACUAAGUUGCUACGUAAGGGUGUGCCGUUUAACUGGAUUGAUGCACAACAAGAAAGCUUUGAGAAGCUUAAGACUAUACUAACUGAUGCCCCUGUUCUGAUAUAGUCGGAGCCUGGAAAUGAGUUUAUUGUUUAUUUUACUGUAUCACAUGUCGGUUUGGGAUGUGUGUUGAUGCAGGAUGGUAAGGUGGUAGCCUAUGCAUCUCCUCUGCUUAAGACCCAUGAGGCGAAUUAUCUGACGCAUGACUUGGAGUUGGACGCUGUGGUAUUCGCACUGAAAAUCUGGAGGCAUUAUUUGUAUGGUGAGAAGUGUAUUAUCUACAUUAAUCAUAAGAGCCUCAAGUAUCUCCUCACUCAGAAGGAGUUUAAUUUUAGGCAGCGCAGAAGGAUUGAGCUACUUAAAGAUUAUGACUACACCAAUAAGUACCACCUUGGUAAGGCCAAUGUGGAGGUUGAUGCACUGAGCUAUAGGGCUAUGAUUGAUUUGAGGGCGAUAUUUGUUCGCUUAAGUUUAUUUGAUGAUGGUAGUCUGUUGGCUGAUUUACAAGUUAAAUCGAUGUGGAUAGAACAGAUUAGGGGUAAGCAGAAAGAUGAUGAGUCAUUGGGACUUCAUUUUUGACAGGAUGAGAGUGGGAAUACCGAGGAUUUUGGACUGAAUAGCGAAGGGGUACUCUAUUUUCGUGAGAGAAUCUGUGCACCGAAAGAUAUUGAAUUGAGACAGUCUAUACCGCGAGAGGCGCAUAGUUGCUCUUAUGCUAUGCAUCCUGGCGGAAAUAAAAUGUACCGAGACCUCCGUGAGUUAUAUUGGUAGUAGGGUUGAAACGUGAGGUUACUUAUUUUGUGGGCAAAUAUCUGACUUGCCAGCAGGAUGAGGCUAAGCAUCAGUUACCUUCGAGUUUGCUGCAGCUGGUUAAGAUUCCUCUCUGGAAAUGGGAGUGCGUAACUAUGGAUUUUGUUAAUGGGUUGCCUCUAACACCCACUAACGAAGAUUCAAUAUGGGUCAUCGUGGAUCGAUUGACCAAGUCCGCCCACUCUAUACCAGUUCGUACUGAUUAUUCUUUGCACAAGCUGGCGAAGCUUUAUAUUUCUGAGAUAAAAACUGCAUGGAGUACUGAUUUCAAUCACCUCUGAUACGAAUCCUCAUUUUGUGUCCUGAUUUUAGAGGAAGUUACAUGAAGCUCUGGAUACAAGGUUGGACUUCAGUACUGCGUUCCAUCCUCAGACUGACGGUCAGUCAAAGAGGAUGAUUUAGAUACUGGAGGUUAUGUUGAGAAGUUGUGUGAUUGAUUUUCGAGGAAAUUAGGAGGAUUACUUGCCGCUAGCAGAGUUUGCUUAUAAAAACAACUAUAAGUCUAGCAUUCAAAUGACACCUUACGAGGCGUUGAACUGAGUUGGGCGAGCGGUGUGUUCUGGGCCCUGAACUAGUUUCUGAUACUGAGGAUAAAGUUAGACUGAUUCGGGACCGAUUGAAAGUGACAUUUGAUAGGCAGAAGUCCCACGUUAAUCUAAAGCUUCGAAAGAAUGAGUAUUUUAUGGGAUAUUUCAUUUUUCUCAAGGUCUCGCCAUGGAAGAACGUAUAGGGGUUUGGUCGUAAGUGUAAGUUAAGCCUUAGGUUUAUUGGGCCUUACCGUAUACUGAAACGUGUAGGACCAGUUGCCUACCAGUUGGAGUUACCUCCAGAAUUGAAUCAGAUUCACGACGUGUUCCACAUCUCUAUGUUGAGGCGCUACUUCUCUGAUCCCUGGUAUAUUAUUCUUGUUGAAGAGAUCGAGGUUAGGCCAAAUCUGACCUUUGAGGAGGAGCCAGUUCAGAUUCUAGAUCGCGACGUUAUGGUUCUGAAAAGGAAAUCCAUUCCACUGGUAAAGGUUCUAUGGAGUAAUCAAAACACAAAGGAGGCCACAUGAGACCCUGAGGAUGCGGUGUGUCAGUAAUGUCCUCAUCUGUUCUGAUCAGGUAAAUUUCGAGGAUGAAAUUUUCUUUAGGGGUAGAAUUGUAACGCCCAAAAAUUUUAAUUUUGGGUAUUAUGAAUGUGUGACACAAACAUCUGUCAGCUUUAGUGGUUGUGUGUUCUAAGAGUGUUUGGGAGGUCCCAAGUUCAAGCCAGGACUUGGGCAAAUUCUGGUAUUUUUAUGAAUAAGCCCUAUAUUUGGUCAGUAGACUUUUAAGUAACAGUUGGCAAAGAAUUAACAGAAUGGGUCUACUGGUCUUAUGGAUAAGUGGAGUGUUGGUGCGAGGGAGGUCAUGAGUUCGAAUCUUUGGGACGACAAAGGUUGCAUUUUUUCUCCUAAUUUCGGCAAGAGUUGUGCUGAACUGGGUUUCUGAGUGGUGGAUGUGUAGUGGGAAGUGAAGGAGCGAUUGUAGGAGUGAAUUAGGGGAUUAUGGGGGAGAAUAUCCAAAAUCUGAUCACUUUUUCCUUUUUCGAAAAAAAGAGAGUCAUUUUUCUCUCCAUCUUUCUAACAUUUUCUAUCCCCCGUCUCUACCGAAUUUUUUUCUUCUUUGCUUCUUACUCGAUUAUCUUUUCUUUUCUUUCCUCUACAGCCGAAAUUCCCUUGUUCCCCCUAAACCAUUCUUUCUUCUUAAUUUCGUAGCGUUAAGCAGCACUUGUACAAGUUCAGUAAGUUGUUGGGUAUCAUUUUAAGAGAUUAUUGUGUGUUCAAUAGUCUAAUUCCGGGCUGUUGGCAGUAGCAUUUUACGAGGAUUAAGGCUCUCAUCGUGAUUUUUGUAAACGUACCAAUUUGAAGUUUUCGCGGUAAGGGUUCAUCGUUUUAUGAGUAAGCAUUUUGGUUUCAGGAUUUUGAUUAAUCGUGAGGUAAAACUAUUAUGGUGUUAUUUGUUUAGUUAUAGGUUUUGGAGUGGUCGGGGACAGUUUUAGCGUCAAACAAGACCAGGUGUGUAUCCGAAACACAAAAAUAAGGGAUUCGGUGAAAAGCCAAAAUUGCUUAUUGUUUGGACAACAGCAAUAGGCUAAAUUUGAAAAAUCACCAUAAAUUUUGAAAAUCGAAUUAGAGGAUGAAAAAAUAUGGGAUUAAAUAUAUUUGAGUCUAGUUUCUCAUAGAAAAAACGAAGUAUGUAAAAGAAUUUCAUAUUAUGAGAUAUUUGAAUUUUAGUGAGACAGGGUCAGAAUGAUUUUGAAAUCCCCUAUCCUGAAUUUUGAAAAUUAUUAAAAAUUUUAUAAAAAUAAUUAUGGGUUAGAAUUUAUAUGUUUCAAAUCUUGAAUGAGUCUACUUUCAAGAGAAACAAACUAGAACAUCAUCCGAAUUCUGUACGAGAAGAUUAUUAAUUUUUAGUGCAGAAAGGUCGAAACUAUCAAACAGUAGAAUAGGGGAAAAUUUAAAGAAUAAACUAUACUUGUUGGCUAAACCAAUAAUUUUGAAAAUUUUAUGGUAAGAAAAUAUGUGAGUUUGGCUUCAGGGAAAAUUUACGGAUUUGAAUUCGGAAUUCUGUAACUUAAGAUACAAAGAAUUUAGUAAUAGUGACUCAAGUAGACAACUUUUAAGGAUCAUAUGAGUAAAUAGUAGAAACACAUACGAAUAAUUAACUAGUAUGGGUUACAUUAAAAUGGAUCACGAGGCCAAGGCCAAAUUGAGUCAUGUGGGCCACACGGGCGAACAUCAUGGGCUUGUAGGCCCAUUUUCAGUAUUUGACUAAUAAGGUUGCACGGGUCGCCCAAGUCGACUAUGAACCUAUUGUAUGGUCGGUAAGUCUACCUAGACCCCUAAUUGACUAAGAUGAUUGUAUGACUGAUAUGAUUAAGCCUGAUGAUGUCCCACUGAUUUGAUACUAUAUGCCUUGUUUACAUGCAUGAUAUUAUGUUAUAGCAUGUCAUAUCUUUAUAUUGCAUUACAUUGGGUUGGGGGAUUAUAUUGUUCGAAGGAAGUGUACUGAAAGGAUUCGAACCUAAUUUACUAGUAGUUAAGCAUCAAACUACUGUCUAGUGCCGCAUUCGGUACUACUUGGAGUGUAGGGAUGGGUGGAUUGAUUAUAUCCCUACAUAGAGUGUAGGGUUGGACGGAGAUGGUGUGUACAGGCUGGAUGGGUAGGAUUUUUGUGAUUGUAUAUCUGUUACUGCUACUGAUAUUGUGAUGGGCUAAAGCCCUACUGCAUGACUGCUUUUGUAUUGAGAUGGGCUUAGGCCCAAACUAGACUAAUACUGAUACUGAAAAGGAAUUAAGCCCAGACUGUGAUUAUUUGUUUACUGUCUGUUCAUUUGUAUGGGGAUUACACACUGAGUUUACGUAAACUCACCCCUUCUGUUUAAUUUGUAUAGGUAAUCCCCAGAUUUAGGCAGAUCGGUGCGGUGGAAGACUCAGUGGUGGCCACACGACUUCUUUUACACUGUUUAUUACCUAUUUAUGAUUUUACUUUUAUUUGGGAGUAUUUUACUGUGAUUAUGGCCUUCAUGGAUUUUGGUUUAAAUUUGGAUUUUAUACGGUUUUGUGAUUGGAAUCUGCUAGUGUUAGGUGAAACUCAGGUUUUCAAAUGAAAUUAAUGUUUUAUCAAAAAUACCAUGAAUACGCAAACUGUUUAAAAGCUUCCGCAAUAAAAAAAACGUUUUGAAAUUGAAUAACGAUUUGUAAAUGAAUAAUGUUUUGUAAACGAACGUCACGAUUUGAAAUUAACAUAAGAUAAUGAAAAAAAAUGGUUAAAUAGAAAAGAGAAUUUAGCGAUGACAUAUUUUUCGAAAAGCAUUAUCCUGUGACAUCAUCAGAUUCGGCCAUAACGUCUAGGCCGAGUUUGGGGUGUUACAUAAUCAUUUAUUUUUGUUGAUUUUGUAUGUUUGUGUAUUCGUGAUGUUAUUUUUUCAUUAUGGUGUUGGUAUUGUGUUUUUGUACUUAUAGCAUUACAAAUUUGUUUAUGCAUUUAAAUGUUAAUAAUCAUUUUAUAGAUAUUUUUUUGUGUUUGUAAAAGAGCCAUGUUGAUGUUAUUUUUUGUGUUGUAUUAUAUUUUUCAUAAUUUAUCAUAAUGAUAAAUUUUCUUUCCAUGUCCUGUUUCAAUUAUGUCUUAUUUCAUAUGCACACUUUAUUAUAAUGACACAAUUCAAAGAAAACUAUAUGUUUAUACUAUAUUUCACAUUAUGUUUUAAUGCAUCUGAGCUAUUAUUACCUAGUAAUUCCUUUUAUGUACAUUGAGUUGAUGUAAUAUUCAUGUAAUUUUUGUGUCACUUAUUUUUUAACUAUUUUUUAUAUUAUUUUAAGUCAUGCUUUAGUUUAUUUCAUGUUUUGUAUAGUUUGUUAUAGUAAAUCAAUUUUAACUGAAAAUUUCUUUGUUUGAGGAUAUGAUGAUUUCAAUAUAUAUAAUAUAGAUAUUAUGGGUAUAUUAAUAAGUUUUAGAUAUAAUGAUAAGACACGUUAUAUUCCCAAUAAGAGAAUUUAAAUUUGAAUCCUAGAGAUAAUAUUUUAGGGAGUUUUAAGCACGAAUACUAAAAGUAUUAAUCUUAAUGGACUAUAAAACAAACAUUAAAGAUACAAUGGUUUCAUGCACACAAAAAAUACAAUUAAUAUGCUUAAUAUUUUAACAAUAUUUCAUGUUCUAUUCAUGUGGAUCAUGCAUGUCAAGUUUGUCGUAGAUUAAAAAUUUCUAAGUUCUUUUAUUAAUUUAAUAAAGAUAUUGGAUAGGUUUGAAAAUAUGCAUGCAUGAUAAGUAAAAUUAUAUUGAUAAAAAUAUAUAAAACUAAUUUAGUUUUACAUUAGUAUAACUAAAUCCCUACCCGUAUAUAUAUAUUAUGGCUAAAAAUAAUUGUUACUUGAAAAAAAUGAAAUAAAAUUGGAUCGUUGAUCGAAUUAAUUAGACCACCAAUUCUUGUUUCAAUUAGAUUAGUUUGAAGUUGAUUCAACCAUAUAUAUAAUAAAAUAUUAUUUUUAAGUUGAUGGACGUUGAAUUCAAAGAAACAAUAUUUUAUUUAACUUUUUUUGUCAUAUUCAGUCUCGGGAAAUAGAAAUUGAAUAAAACAUGUAGGGGAAAUCUUUAACUCCACAAGUAAAGUUAAGAUUUUGUCACAUGUUUUAUUUAUUUUUUUAAAUUUUUAAUUACAACUUAAGGAUACAUGGCAAAAUCUUAUCUUCGUUUGUGGAGUUAAAAUUUUUCAUGACCAAUGUACCAAAUAAUUAUCAUAUAAAUUUAUAAUAAAAUAUUUGGUACACUGUUAGUAGAGUUCUUAGACUCCACAAGCAAAGUCAGGGGGUUGACAAGUAUCUUAUAGAGGUAUAGUAUAAUGUUAAAAAAAAGAGACAUGUAAAAAUUUUUUAAGGCUACUUGUUGAAUAAAAAAAAGUACAUUGUUAGUAUACUAAAUAUGUAACACCCCAUACCCAACCUAGUCGCUAGGUCCGAGCUACAGGAUGUUACAUCCAUUUUUGGAGCAAAUAUGAUCAAUUACAUAUGUAAUUGAACCAUUUGUACAUGUAAAGAAGUAUAUUACAUAUUCAUAAUAUGCUACAUAAUCAUUUUCGGGUCUUAUAUGAACUUACGAAACCUUUUCUACUGACCUGAGGUUGAAUUAGAACCAAAAUAUAAAAUUUGUAAAAUAUAGGGUUGACAUCACGAAUUCAAGGAGGUUCCUCAUCGUAAUGCAACUCAUUGAUGAUUUCUCAUCGUGACGAAAAAGGUUCGACGUCACGACGUGACCGCCUGUUUCCAAAAGGUCCAAGUUGUACUUAAUCAAAACAUUCAUCCAAAUCAGUUUGUAUCCCGAAUCAACCAAUUCAACAUUCUAACCAUUUCCAUAUGCUAAAUUUCAUCUUGUUGCAUCAAUAAUACCUAUACAUAACACUUUCAAUAUAUGACAUUUUCAUCAUUUCAUCCAUCCAACCAUUUCAAUUGAUAAUUCAUCAUAUGUCCCAUUCUAAUUCACUAUCUUUCAUAUAUACAUAAUUCAAGUAACAUAGCUAUUCAAACUUUCAAUUUUACCAUUUAUAACACACAACCAACUCAAAGUACAUAUCACACUUUAAGAUGAAAAGGGACUAUACAAACAUUUCUAAGUUAAGGACUGCUAGUUGGAUGCUGAAGCACAUCUCGUGACUUUGAGAUCCACCUAAGCCUGCACACAGAAUAAACAAACUAUACGCUAAGCGAUAAAGUUCAGUGAUACUUUCAUGAUUCAAGUCACAAAUGAGCAUAUUCACUUUAAUAAUUCAAUAAAUAUAUACCACAAUUCAACCAAAUCAAUUUGCAUAUACAAUACUCAAAUAUCAUUCUUUUAAACCAUUUCAAUUGAUGAUCAAACUAAACAUUUCUAUAUCCUGCAUUCCAAUGACAAAGAUGCAAUCAUUUCCAUUUCAAUUUCAUAUAUUCAUGUAUUCAUCCAUAUGACAUUCAAUAUCAUUUUCAUCCAAUUUUAUUUAAUCAUUCACUUGACCUUUGAUGUCUCUUUCUUGAGUCUAUUGACUCAUUCAAAUUAGGUUUGAGCCCCAGGGCUUGUUUUAAUCGGCUCGCAUGGUUGUUCACAUGAUGUCAUUUUUCCACAUAUCAUAUUUAUACAAUUACACUAUUUCAAUAUCAUCCAUCUCAUUUACCAUAUUAUCAAUUUAUAUUUUAUACACUAUUAACUAGACACAGACAUAUAACAAAUACACUGAUCUAUACUCUAUCACCCCGGUUUGUCUGACAACAAUGACUCUAAAACAUGUACAUGCUACCACCUCGAGUUGCCCGACAACGAUGAUUUUUAUAAUCUAAUUAUUAUGUCAUCCUGGGUUGCUCGACAAUGAUGACUAUAUACGUAUAUUCUACCACACCAUUUAACACCUCUCACCCGGUCCAGUCGUCAGACCCGAGCUAUAGGAUGUUACAAUAGUCAACAAACCAUAUCACAUACAAAUCUGACUUUAAACAUUCAACUAAACAAUAAAACAUUUCAUAAUCUAAUCAUGAUAUGAUUUAUAAACAAAUUCAAGUCUCAAAUGAGCUUACGAAAGCUCUUAAACCAACUCGAGAACAAAUAAUGACUUAAUUGAAACCUUAGCAAAACACAUAGAAAUUUCUGCAAAUAGGGAUCACACGACUGUGUAUCCAGGCCGUGUGAUAUGUUGUGACCAUGUGGUAUAGAGUUGCACGACCAGUAUCCAGAUUGUGUAACCCACUAAAGCUAUGUGGACCUAAAUGCAAAGAUUCACUAAAAUUCACACGGCUGUGUGACAGACUAAAACCAUGUGCAAACCAAAUGACUAUAUCGACAGAAACUCACACGAGCAUGUGGCCAAUUUGUGUGGCACUCGUAAUCUGUAUGGGCUAUACAAUAACUUACCUCAGUGGUCACAUGAUUGUGUCAUCAGACCGUGUGGAGACACACGGUCGUGUGCCAAACCAUGUGUAGCAAAAAUGAAACUCUUUAAAACAAUUUACCAUUUCAGCCAUGCCAAAACCUAUACCAAUGCUAAUAUCCAAUAUUACACCUAUUCAAAACAUGCCAAAACACCUAAACCAUUUCCUUAAAAAACUAACCAAUAUGCCUUAAUGGCACUAUUUCACAACAAGAUUCACAUAAAAGAAUUAAUCCCAUUUCAUGCCAAUUUAAACUAUGACCAUAUAGGUUCACUAUAAACAAUCAAAACACUUAAGUUAUGGCCACCUAUAAAUAGUCAUAUUACCAAAACAACCAUACAUAAGUUUAGUACCAAAUUCACACUAAAUGCUUAUACUAAUUCCAUAUUUAUAUCACCUCAAACAUGCACCUAGGAACCUUAUACAAUCCAUACACCAAAAAGCCACUCAUUUAUACUCUUAUUUCAUAACUUACCAAGCUAUUAAUAACCAUUGUUGUAAGCAUAUCUUAUAAACACUUUUAAAACCAAGCAAUUCAUAUGGAUCAAGACCAUUUCCACAUAAGAUAAACACUUAUACCAUCCAAGCCUAUAUACAUAAACUACCAUUUGACACCAUUCCAUAUACCAAAACUUAUAUCACUAAAUCCCAUUCAAAUCCAAACAAACCUAUCAAUCCAAACAUGUUAUACCAACCUACAGAGCAUUAGAACUUAGCCUUUCACUUGUCUCAAACAUGGCAUGCCGUAAUGCCAAAUUUAUACACACAUUUGCACAAAUUACCAAAUGAUCCAAAACCAUUAUCAUUAAUAAGCAAAACUUAUAAUCACUCAAGACAACAUAAGUUGGGCUAAGGUUUCGGUCAUAGAUUUCUCAAACCAGAACCUGAAACUGAGCAGCCCUAAAUGGGAUUUGUUGAAGUUCCAAGUCCGGAAAGCAUUGGAGGAGUACGACUAUUUUGAAGCCUCAUUUGACCAACUCCUAGAGCUUUAGAGGCCAUUUUUAAAGGCCUUGAAACAACUAAUUGACUUGCCUUUCCAAAUAAAAUAGCUGGCAAACCCCUUCGUGCCUAUGCUGGGCCUCCAUCAAUAUUGUAUGAGAGCAUAUCCACUGAUGAUGCACAUAUUGUUAAAAAUAUUGAACAAUGCCUUACAACCACUUUGUGGCCUCAAGGAAACAUAAGCUUCAGGUACUUCGAUUCACUUGUAAAAAACCCUUUAGCAAAACUACUACACUUUUUUUUAUCUGCUCUGUUUUUGGUAGUAAAUCUCUAGCUCCUUUCACUUAGCUAGCAUUAGGAUUAGAGAAGACAAUUUUGAGGAUGAUUUUGGAGAGUUUUGGCCUUGAGAAAUACAUGGAUGAACUUGUGGACUCAACAACUAAUCACCUGAAGGGCAUGAAAUACGGAAGGAUAAACACCAGCGAGCCAACCCAUGGGGUACCUGCGCACUGUGAUCAUACUACAAUGACUCUUUUGUGUCAGUUAAAUGAGGUUCAAGUAUUGGAGAUCGAAAAAAAUUAGCGAAUGGAUAACUAUAAAUCCUUCACCCAACUCUUUCGUAGUUAUGCUUAGAGAAUCCUUCAGCGUAAGUCACGUGUAUAUAAAUAUCUUGACUUAAACAAAAGCUCAAAGUAGAUAGAAAGUAAAUUUUGUACUAUUGCAAGUAUGGUUGAAUGGUCAAUUGACUGUUGUUUAUCACCGCUUGAUGAUGAAGGGAAACGAGACUAGUUAUAGCAUCAGAGUGUUUGCAAGUCCAAGAGAAGGGUACCUAGUAAAGGUUCCUAAAGAGCUUGUUGAUGACAAAAAUCCGAUGCUCUUAAAACCUUUUGAUCUGGAAGAAGUUUUGAAAUUUUACUACCUCCAAACUGUUCAAGUUGGUACUAAAUCUACUAUUAAAGCUUAUUGCAAUGUCUAAGAUUUGGGCAUAAAUAGUUUUAUGUAAAAUAAAUAAUUCUUGGUCUCUCUUUAUGUAAUAUAAUAAAGGCUAUCCCAACUCAACAUUGAAGAUAGCCAAAUCAACUGUGUCUUGAAAGGGUUGUAAAAGUUGUAAUAAUGGUAAAGACAAAUACAUAUUUUGAGUGUGUUGGUAUUGUGUUUUUAACCAAUCCGUAAAUAGACGUAGUCUACACUCCUCUUGUAUCAUUCGAAUUUGACAUAGUGAAUUUUAUUUUUCUCCGCACGUAGUUUUUCCCCGAAAGGGCUUCCACGUAAAAUUUUGUGUGUUCUAUUUUCUCUUUCUUUAUCAUUCAUUGUCAUUAUCAACGUUCAACUUUUACAGUAUAAUUUAUCAUAAUAAUUCAUUAAGAAAUUUUUUUCAUGUCGUGUUUGAAUUAUAAUGACAUAAUUUAAAGAAAACUAUAUGUUUAUAUUUUAUUUCAAAUUUUUAAUGCAUCUAAAUUAUUAUGAAUUAUGUUAUACUUUACUUAGUAAUUCCUUUUAUGUAGAUUAUGUUUAUGUACUUUUCAUGUAAUUUUUGUGUCACUUAUAUUUUAUCUAUUUUUAUAUUAUUUUUAACUCAUGCUUUAGUUUAUUUCAUAUUUUGUAUAAUUUGUUAUAGUAAAUUAAUUUUUAUCAUAUUCAUGUCUCUCUUGUUGGGAAAUAGAAACGAAAUAAAACAUAAUUUUGGUAAUUAUUUAGUAAACAAGUAGUGGAAAUUGUUAACUCCACAAGUAAAGUUAAGAUUUUGUUACAUGUUUAAUUUCUUUUUUAUUUCAUUUUUUAAUUACAAUUUAAGGAUACAUGGCAAAAUCUUAUCUUUGUUUGUGGAAUUAAAAAAUUUCACGACCAAUGUACCAAAUAAUUAUCCUAUAAUUUUAAUGAGAAUAUAUUUUGUACAUUGUUAGUGGAGUUUUUAAACUUCACUAGCAUAGUUAGGGGAUUCACAAGGAUUCUAUAAAGGUAUAGUAUAAUAUUUAGAAAAUAUUAAAAAAAUAGACACAUAUAAAAAAAUUAAGACUAUUUGUGGAAUAAAAAAAAUGCAUUAUCCGUAUACUAAAUAUGUAACAUGUUAGAAUUAAGUGACCCAAAUCCUUAUUUAAAUCAAAUACAAUGGUAAAAUAAAAUAAAAGUAAAAUCCCUAUAGAAUUAUACUUCUUUUUUUAAACCUUAUUUGUAACACCCCAAAUCUGGCCUAGAUGUUAUGGUCGAAUCUGACGUGUCACAUUUGAAGUGUCUUUCGAAAAUUGGUAUUGUUGGUAAUAAUUUCAUUUCAAAGUUUAAAAACCUCUUAAUUAUUAUUUGACAAAUCAUCUAUCCAAAACAUUUACCUUGCUGUCUUGCUUUUGUUAUAGUAAGCUGAUCUAAAAUCGUGGAAGCUUUUGAAACUCUGUUGUUUAGGUCUCGUGUCUUUGAAAACAGUAAUUAUUUUGAAAAUCCGUCUUCUCCUAAACUGACAGUUUAAAAUAAGUAAGCAAAAGACCAAUUAAAAAUUUAAACAAACUUAUUGGCCAUAUUACAAAAACAAAACCCAAUAUAUAAGUUAAAUUAAAAUAAAAGCAAGUGUAAACAGCAGCAGUUGUGUGGCCACCUCCAAAUCCCUCGCAGCACUGAAUCGCCUAUGGCUGAGGAUUACCUGCACAGUUAAAAGGAGAGGGUGAGUUUACGAAACUUAGUGUGUAAUCCCCUACCAAACAGUUAGCCUACAACAUGCAGUAAUAGUCUGGGCCUGAGCCCUAUGCAGUAAUAGUACAGUGUGGGCCUUAGCCCGAUAUAGUAACAGUGUGGGCCUUAGCCCGAUACAGUAACAGUGUGGGCCUUAGCUUAAUACAGUAACCGUGUGAUAAUGCAACCCAUCCUAAUCCAGCCAACACACCAGUGCGUACGACCAACACACCAUGUAGGGAUAAAAUCGACUCACCCAACCAACACACCAAUAUCACAGCAAAGCUACCAGUAAAAGUAUUGCAGUGAAGCUGCCCGUAACAGUAUAUGUGGCAAAGCCACCAGUAUAGUAUACUUCCCCUAUAUCAACUUCUCAACCCCAUGCAGUAUGUCAUGUCAUAAAUCAUACGUGUAUGCAGAGUAUCAUAUUCAAUCAUAACAUACAUAUCAUAGAGCAAAUCGGUCAUACAUACAUAAGGCCAUACAAACAUUUCGACUCCUAGGGGUAUAACAAUCAUUUUACCCUCUGGAGGUAUUUCGAUAGUUUUACCCUUCGAGGGUAUUUCAGUUAUUUUAUCCUUUGGGGGUAUUUCGGUCAUUUUACCCUUCAAGGUUAUUUCGAUUAUUUUACCUUUUGAGGGUAUUUCAGUCAUUUAUUAACUACUCGAAAGGCCCGCAGUUGCCUGGAGUGACUUAGGUAACCUAAAUGGUCAUAAUAGUGUAAAUGGGCACAAGGCCUAUUACUCGGCCCAAGUGGGCCCACACACUAGUGCAGUCCGUUCUGCCCAUAAUUCGCCACAGCUAUGAUUUCUACAUAACCCAGUCUAUUAUUUGCCAUAAAUCGUAGUUUUCAUCCGUGAGGGGCCCACGAGCCUAUUGGGCCCAUACGCCCUAUUUUGGCCCAACGUGGCCCAUUGUAGCCUACGCCCAUGGAAUUGCUCAUGGAGGCCUCUACAGUCUAUCGCCCAUGAUUUGAGGAUUUGGUUUACCACAUGAGCGAUCACACGCUCAUGUGGUCUCAAAUGCAGUACAUUCAGCUUCUCGGCUUUUGCCAUCUAACAAUUAUAGCGGGGUGUCUACACUCCUGAUUGUGAAAACGCACCAAGAUGCACGAGCACCCAAAAUCUGCAUUCAUACAAGUUUUCCAUUAGUCGCUAAAUAAUAGGGUUAAUCUCCUUCUUUUACAUUCUUAACCAAAACUAAAUUAAUACUUGCCUCGACUGUCAAAAGUGUCUUAGUCCACUUAUACCACUGACGAAGGUUAACUACAAUCUUUUUGACAAAUAUCUGCAUUGAAAAUGGAUUUAUGAAACAAAAUUGUUUAAUCAUGUGGUUUAAAUCCACUUCAUGAUAACUUACAGAAAAACAACAAGCAUUCGGCCUACACCUAGAAUGCUAGCCCACAUACCUGUCUUAAAUCGAGAGAAGAGAGAAAGGUUUCGACGACUUGGUAUCAGUUGAUACUCUUACAAACGUCAAGGAGAUCGAACCGUCAGAGAAGAGUGAUAUACAGCUAAACCAUAGACAAUAAAGGGAGAUACCCUCGAUCAAAAAGGAAAUAAUAGGAGGUAUAAAUCAAUGACAGAAAAAGAAUGAUAUUCGGCCAAAAAAAGAAGAAGAGAAGCGAAGAGAAGAGAAAGAAGGUUCGACCAGAAGAGAAGAGAAGAGAGAAAAAGAGAGAAUGAAGGAUUUGGCAAUAAGAGGAGAGGGGGAAGAGGAAAGAAGAAAGCAGAAAGAGAGAAUGAAGGAUUUGGCAAUAAGAGGAGAGGGGGAAGAGGAAAGAAGAAAGCAGAAAAGGACAAACCCAAGAGGUACUUCCCAACACUUGGCAAAAUUUGGCAGAUACUACCCCAAAAAGUUCUUCCAAAUAACGAAAACAAGAACUUUUCCCCCUGAGCUGAAUUCUGAAGGCUUGAAUUACCCUAAACAGCACACACUACCCCUCCUAAUCAAAUUCCUUGAUUUUCUCCUAAUAUCUCUCCAUUUAUGCCUCAUUGAUUUACUCCACCAAUUCCUCUUCAACUCCCCCAACAACUCCAUUCAAAUCCUAUUCAAACUCCCCUUAGUUGUGUUUCAGUCCAACUCCACUACCUACACUGCUCAAGCAGCAAAAUAAAUACUCCAUUGGACAACCUAGGACUUGAACCUUAGACCUCACAGUUACACACCACGCCACCUUGCCACUAGACCACAAGCUCUUUUUGUGUCAUAAAACCAACAAUAAUAUUUAUAAGGCCUAUAUGCCUAAGUCUAGAUUCAUUUCAGAGUAAAACUAAAAAUUCUGCAAAAGCUAAGACUUGAACCCAGGCUUCUCAAACACCCCCCAUACACACCCAAAUCACUUAACCAUUAAAGCAAACAAGCAAUUUGUGUCAAAUCAUGCAAAAAUUAAAGACUUAUAUUUUUGGGGCGUUACAUUAUUAAACUCCAUCUAUUUGAUAUUGAUUAGAAUAAGGUGUUUCAAUCUUACUACAUUCCUAUUAGAAUAUGGUUUUACAAGCCUAUAAAUGGACAUAGUCUACUCCUCUCGUAAUCAUUCGAAUUCAACAUAGUGAAUUUUCUUCCCCUCUGCCCGUGGUUUUUUCGAAAGGAUUUCCACGUAAAAUCUGUGUGUUAUUUAUUUUUAUUUCUUUUUUGUGAUAUAUUGUCAUUAUCGACAUUCUAUUUUUACAAAUUGGUAUCAGAGCUUUCAGGUUGUUCAUCUCAAUCACAGUAAUGGCAUUUUUGAAGUAUGAAAUUCCACUGUUAGAUCGCAACACCAGAUUCGCGUUGUGACAGAUAGAGAUGUAGGCAGUUCUUGCACAAAUGGACUUAGAGGAAGCCCUACUAGGGGUAGAUAAGAUGCCUUCAACAUUGACUGAGGAAGAGAAGAAGUGUGAGGAUCGAAAGGCGUUAACACAGUUACAUCUACAUUUGUCUAACGAAAUUUUGCAGGAUGUGAUAAAUGAGAAGACCACCGCUGGAUUAUGGAAGAGGUUGGAACAAAUAUGUAUGUCGAAAACUCUAACUAGUAAGCUGCAUAUGAUGUAGCGUCUUUAUGCUCAUCAUUUGGAGGAAGGUGUGUCUGUGCACGAACACUUGACAGUGUUUAAAGAAAUUCUCUCAAAUUUGGAGCCCACGGUGGUUCAAUAUAAUAAGGAAGAUCUAGGGUUGAUUUUACUUUGUUCGUUACCGCCGUCUUAUUCAACCUUUAGAGAUACAAUUUUAUAUUGCCACGAGUCUCUCACAGUUGAUGAGGUUUAUGAUUCUUUAACCUCGUAUGAUAAGAUGAAGCAUCUUGUGGUUAAAAUCGAAUCUCAAGAAUAAGGUCUUAUUGUUCGUGGGAGACAAGAUCAGAAUGCUGAUGAUGAUCGUGGAAGGACAAAGGAACGAAAUCCUCGUGGUAAAUCUAAGGGUAGAUCGAAGUCUUCAAACAAAGGUAAAACUUGUAACUUCUACAAGAAAAAAUGGCACAUUAAAUCUAAGUGCUAUAAGCUACAAAACAAGAUCAAAAGGGAGGCUGCGAAUCAAAAUGGAAAACAAUUAAAAAAUUUUGGUAAGGCUGAUGUUGUAGAAGACUACAGCAAUGGUGAACUUCUAGUCGCUUCUGUCAACAAUUUUAAAGUGAGCGAGGAGUGGAUCCUUGAUUCGGACUACACCUUCCACAUGAGUCCCAAUCAGGUUUGGUUUACAACUUACGAAACAGUGUCUGAAGAUGUUGUUUUGAUGGGAAAUAAUGCUUCAUGUAGAAUUACAGGUGUCGAAACCAUUUUUUGAAAAACAAAAAUUUUAGGUUGUCAACAAAAUGAAAAUUGGGAGUCGCCACCAAUCUUUUAUUGAGGUGUGAUUGGAUCACCUAAAAAAAUGGCUUUGGUCUACGAGUUUUAGAAAAACAGAUCCUGGAGUCGGUUACGUAUGAGGAAGGAUUAGCACCCUCAUAACGCCCAAAAUUGGUACCUAGUUAAUUAAUUAAUGUCUUAAUGUCAAAAAUUUGAAAAAUAUAAUCCUUAGGAAAAACUUAAAAACGUUACGUAUUAAGACCUUUAUCAUUUCAAAGAAAGAAAAUAUCACACCCAAUGCGUUAGGGCACAACAUUUUUAUUUCCUUAAAAAUGAAUUAGGCCAGAAUACUCGUGCAAUAAAAAGUUAAAAGGAAUAUCCAUUUAUUCAAGAUUUAAGAAAUCGCGGCCCAAUACGUUAGGGCACAAUUCCUCCAAAAUCCCAAACUCGGAAUAUUUCCUAUAUUAUUUUUUAGAAAAAAUCCCCAUUUCGAGAAAUCAAUGCGUCACAUCUAAUACGUUAGGACACAACGUGUUGAAUUCCCAAUAAUGAGUUCUUAUUUUUUGAUUAAAGAGAAAUGCUCGAUUGUAGAUUUAACGAAGAAAAUCAGAACCCAAUACGUUAGGGCUCAAUUCCCUUGAAAAUCCUAAAUACGAGCAUUAUCUCAAUUUAGAAUUUUUUUUUUAAAAUCGAGUAAAAAAUGAUGUAAUGUUAUAUUGAAUGCAUGUAUAAAUAUCGCAAUAAAAAAUAACAAUAAUAAAUACGACAAUUGUAUAGAAAUAAGAUAAACAAAUAAAUAAAUAAAAAUAAAAAACCAAUGACAUGCAAAGUUUCAAAAAAAAGGUGCAUAAUAUAUACAUUUAUGAGAAUAAAGAAAAAUAUACAUAUAGAAAAUAUAAAAAUAUGGAUAGAAAGUAUAACAUAUAUAUACGUACAUAUAUAUAUAAGGUAAUAAAUAUAUAAAUCAUAAAAAUAAUAAUUACACAUAUAAACUUUAAAAAGAAAAAAAAGAAAAUAUUUUGAAAUUAAUUAGUUCUAAAAAAGGGACUAAUUUUAAACUAUGAUAAAAAACUAGGGAAAAUUCAUAAAUAAAUAAAGUAUGGAGGACUAAAUUGAACGCACGAAUUACAUAGAGGGGCUAGAAGGGCAAUUUUCCCUUCUCCUCUGAAACGGCGCCGUUCAAAAGGGUUAAAUUGAAAUUCAAAAUAAAUUAAAGGACGAAAUUAAAAAAACAAAAGAACCUAAUUGAAAAUAUAUUAAAAGGCGGAGGGGCCAAAAGUGCAAUUUGCCCCUCCGCAUAAAAACAAGCGGACCCUAAAGCGGAUCGGGUCAGAUUCGGGUCGGGUACUCAAAACGACGUCGUUUUGGGCGUCUGAGGGUUCCCCAAAAUGGUACCAUUUUGGUACCCUAUAAAAGCCCCUAACCUAAAAAAAAAUCAUUUCAAAACUGAUUUUUUAAAAAAAACUUAAAAAAACUCUCCCUCUCCCAGUCCGUUCGCCAGGGGUCCGGCCAUCGGCCGGUCGUCGGCCACCGUGGCGGCUGCCAAUCUCCGGCACCAGCACCGCCGUCUGCGAUGGCCAGAAAAGGGAAAAUCCCCUUUCUAUCAUUUUUGUAUCCCUCUAGGCCCAAAUCUGGGCUAAAAAUUUCCAAAAUCAGCGAAAAACUAGAAAAACCCCAGAAAUCUUUCGGCAUCUAGUCGUCUAUCAUCGGAGACGAUCCUCGGCCUUCCUUUCGGUGUUUCAGAAGCCAAAAAGGUAGUUUCCUUCUCUUCUAUUAUUUUUGUUUAUUCGUACGUAAAAUAAAAAAUACAAAAAUAAAUAUAACAACAAAGAAACAAGUAUCAACCUUUUUUUUGACCGAUUUAUUCUCUGUAUUGCAAAAGUACAAGUCCUUUUUCUAUUUGAUUUUUUUUUCGAUCUCUAUUACAGUAUGUUUAAUGGCUUUUUAUAGCCAUUCUCAAAAUAUGUAAAGAAACUAAUAUGCUUAUAUUGAUUUGAUUUUAAAAUCUUCGAUCUUGUUUUCCAUAUACUGUUUAUUUCCUUUUUUGUGCGCAGAUGAAGAUUCGGGGGCUGAGAUUCGGAGGUGAGGUUAGGUGGCUGUGGCACGAGACUCAUCACAGAAACCCUAGGGUUUCUGAUAUUGUGUUGGGCCAUUGUUUUGGGCCUCUGCUUAUUUCAGGUUUUGGGCUACAUAGGCCCGUUGUAAAUUGGGCCCUUUUAAGCCCGGGAAAAAUCUAUUGUUACUGCUGGCCCUCUUUGCUUGUUGUCGAGUAACGAGAACAGAGCAAAAACUUUAAAACUCUCGAUUUUGCCCGGUCUUUUCUGAUCUUGGUACUCUUCUUCUUCUUCAAGUAGCCUCAUUCCUUCCUACCGCAUCCUCAGAGGUAUAUGAAUUAAUGUUUCAAUCUACUUUACUAAACUUUUAUAGCUUCAACUUGAUUUAGUCUACUCCUGGUGCAACUUCAGGGAGAUUAGACUAAAUACGAUCUGCUCUCUACAACUUCAGAGAGAUAAGAUCCAAUGUUUUAAACCACUCCACUACAAAUUUAGGAAGAUAGGAUUAUCGACUUUAAUCUGCUCCACUGCAACUUCAGGGAGAUAAGAUUUGCCAUCUUCAGUCUGCCUCACUACAACUUCAGGAGGAUAAGACUUGCCCACUUAGUCUGCUCCACUGCAACUUCAGAGAGAUAAGACUAGAUGCGAUCUGCUCUCUGCAACUUCAGAGAGAUAAGAUCUAAGGUUUUAAUCCGCUCACUACAACUUCAACAAGAUUGGAUUACCAGUUUUAAUCUGCUCCACUGCAACUUCAGGAAGAUAAGAUUUGCCAUCUUUAGUCUGCCUCACUGCAACUUCAGGAGGAUAAGACUAGAUGCGAUCUGCUCUCUGCAACUUCAGAGAGAUAAGAUCUAAGGUUUUAAUCCACUCACUGCAACUUAGCGAGAUAGGAUUAUCGACUUUAAUCUGCUCCACUGCAACUUCAGGGAGAUAAGACUUUCCAUCUUCAGUCUACCUCACUACAACUUCAGGAGGAUAAGACUAGAUGCGAUCUACUUUCUGAAACUUCAGAGAAAUAAGAUCUAAAGUUUUAAUCCGCUCACUGCAACUUCAGAGAGAUAGGAUUACCGGCUUUAAUCUGCUCUACUGCAACUUCAGGGAGAUAAGAUUUGCCAUCUUCAGUCUGCCUCACUGCAACUUUAGGAGGAUAAGACUUACCUACUUAGUUUGCUCCACUGCAACUUCAGGGAGAUAAGACUCGAUCUGUUUUCUUCACUGAUCUGCUCUUUGGGCAACAUGACCUAUAUAGUGAACCUAAUUAUGCCUAAUAAUUAGGAUGGCAUAAAAUGCAUCAAAUGCUCCAAACUAGACAUGUGCGAAUGACAUUUGAAUGAAUGCAGAAUGUCAUUUUUCAAGAAUUAUCAUUUCUUGAACUUUAUUAAGGUUUUGUCGUUGACGGCUUUUGCUUGGCUAAUAUCUUCGAAAAAACACUCAAUCAAAUUGCCCCCCAUUGUGCACUUCAAAGCUCAACCCUCUAGUACACAGAAUUUGUACUAUAUUUCUUCCACCGUGACUUAAGAGUAGGAAAAUUUGACUCUUCUCAGUCUUCUCCUAUCGUAAUUCAAGGAUACAGAUAAUGAAAUUUGUUUACACCACUCUCAGGGUGUCUUAUCAAAUGCUUAUGCCUAAAUGAUGAGCUUUCUUUCCAUAGGGGACUUCUUCCUACCCCAUCAAGACUUCUUGCUGUCUCAUUCACUAUUUAGACAACCAAAUUCGAAAAAGCAGUCUUAAUUUAGACUUUUUCCUUCUUAGGCUCUUUAUCUUUUGAACUCGGGGUGUUUUAAACAAUAGUCCUGUUUCAGGUUACCAAAUUAUUUAGAAAUUCCCAGAGUAAUAUGCCAAACUUCUUUUGUGAAAGUUUAUUAGUCCAUCAAUCAUUAUUCUAAUGCGACAUGCUUGCGCAAAGAUCAAAAAUACUGAGUAAGAGAUGAAGUAAUUCAAGAGUUUAUUGAUAGUAAGUGUCCUGAAAAGAAAAAGUAUUCAACAACAGCAAAGAAUAAAGUAUCUACAAGAACCAACGAAUUUGGUACAAAUAAUAUGAAGACUAGGUGCUUUGGAUAUCACCGCUUGAACUUCUCCGUGCAAGCCAAAAACCCUUCUGAAUUUAAUAUGUGUUUGGGGGAUCUACAGUACUUUGUCGAUGCCCCAAGCCUCAUAUAUCAUUUUCUUGUUGACUUAAGUGAAGAGAGAUCACCAUAUGCCCCAAUCUGACAAUGUUUGAGCCGCCCUUUUUGGGUUUUCAACUCAAACCCCCCCUUUGGUCCCAAGGCGCCCCUUUCGGGUUUUCACCUUGGCCUCUCCUUUUUUUUAGGAGAUCAGAGCGCCCUUUGCGGGUUUUCACUUUGAUUCCUCUCUUCUUUUAAGUGAAAUAUUUCUUGACUGAAUCUGAAUUUACAGGAUUCGGAAGAUUUUUGCCAUCCAUUUCACUCAAAAUCAAAGCGCCUCCAGAAAAAGCCUUUUUCACAACAUAAGGUCCUUCCCAGUUUGACAUCCAUUUCCCUCUGAAAUCAUUUUGUAAAGGUAGGAUCUUUUUUAAAACCAAAUCCCCUUCAUGAAAUUCUCUGGGACGAACCUUCUUAUUAUAAGCUCGCAUCAUUCGCUUCUGGUACAUUUGACCAUGACGAAUGGCUUUUAAUCUUUUCUCUUCAAUCAGGUUCAGUUGAUCAUACCGAGAUUGGAUCCAUUCGGCCUCAUCCAGUUUUAACUCAGCUAAUACCCGGAGAGAAGGAAUUUCAACCUCAAUGGGUAAAACUGCCUCCAUUCCAUAAACCAACGAAAAAGGUGUUGCCCCAGUAGAAGUCCUGACAAAUGUUUGGUAAGCCAAAAGAGCGAAUGGUAACUUCUUAAUAUUUUUCGCCACAAUCUUCUUAAUAUUUUUGUUGGCCGCCUCUACUGCACCGUUCAUUUUUGGACGAUAUGGUGACGAAUUAUGGUGUCUGAUAUUGAACUAUUCACAGACUUCUGCUAUUGUGCUGUUAUUCAAAUUCAGCGCAUUGUCAGAUAUGAUCUUUUCAGGCAUUCCAUAUCGACAUAUGAUCUCUUUCUUUAAAAACUUACUAACUGUUGACUUCGUGAGAUUAGCAUAUGAGGCUGCCUCUACCCACUUAGUGAAGUAGUCAAUAACCACAAAAAUGAAACGAUGUCCAUUAGAAGCCUUCGGUGAUAUUGGUCCAAUGACGUCCAUACCCUACAUGGAGAAAGGCCAUGGAGAAGUCAUAACAUGAAGAGGAUAAGGAGGCGCGUGCAUUUUAUCCCCAUAAAUUUGGCAUUUAUGGCAUUUCUUGGCAUGAUUGAUGCAAUCUCUUUCCAUGGUGGACCAGUAAUAACCGAAUCUCAUAAUCUAUCUAGCCAUGGUAAAUCCAUUAGCGUGCGUUCUACAAACACCCUCAUGGACUUCUUCUAAAAUUUCCAUAGCCUCUACAGCAUCCACGCACCUCAACAAUACUCGAUCCUUUCCCCUUUUGUAUAGGAUCUCCCCAUCUAAGACAUAGUCAAUAGCUAGUCUCCUCAAUGUCCUCUUAUCAUUCUCCGUUGCUUGAUCAGGAUAUUCGCGAUUCUUUACAUAUAGCAAUAUAUCUUGGUACCAGGGACGAUUAUCAUUCUCCACUUCUUCAAUGCUAUAAUAGUGGGCUGGGAUCUCAUAAAUACUAAUUUGAAUUGGCUUCAUGUCCUCUAACUGAUUUGCUUUAAUCAUGGAAGCUAAAGUAGCAAGAGCAUCAACCAUCUGAUUUUCUUCCCGUGGGAGAUAACAAAAGGUAAUAUUAUCAAACUCUUGAAUUAAUUCCAGAACCAAUCUAUGAUAACGGAUCAACUUGGGAUCUCUCGUUUCCCAUUCCCCUUUUAAUUGAUAAAUUACCAAUGCUGAGUCUCCAUAUACUUCUAGUAUCUUAAUCUUCUGCUCUAUAGCUGCUCGAAUCCCCAUGAUGCAAACUUCAUACUCGGUCAUAUUAUUAGUGCAGUUGAAGUCCAACUUACUGGUGAAAGGAUGAUAAUCUCCAUUCGGAGACACCAGGACUGCCCCAAUCCCAUUGCCUAGUGCAUUCGAUGCUCCGUCAAAGUUUAAUCUCCAAGAAUGAUUUUCUUGGGGAUCCUCUUCAGCAUUUGCCACAUACAUCAAAUCUUCAUUCGGGAAAUCAAAGUCCAGGGGCUCAUAAUCUUCCAGAGCUCUGCUAGCCAAGAAAUCUGCUAUCGCACUCCCCUUGAUGGCCUUCUGACUUACAUAUACGAUAUCAAACUCAGAGAGUAAGAUUUGCCAUCUAGCCAUUCUUUCAUUCAAUGCUGUUGACUCCAUCAUAUACUUCAAAGGGUCUAAUUUUGAAAUUAGCCAAGUCGUAUGAUAGAGUAAGUAUUGCCUCAAACUCUUGGUCGCCCAAAUCAGGGCGCAACACAAUUUUUCGAUAGGCGAAUAUCUCAUCUCACAAUCAGUGAAUUUCUUGCUGAGAUAGUAAAUCGCCUUUUCCUUCUUUCCAGUCGCAUCAUGUUGACCCAGCACGCAUCCCAUGGAGUUGUUGAACACCGUUAAAUACAAAAUCAAGGGUCUAUCUGGGCUGGGUGGUGACAGAACUGGAGUAUUGGAUAAGUAUUCCUUUAUUUUUUCAAAGGCUUUCUGGCAUUCUUCAUUCCAGACAUCAGGAUUAUGUUUCUUCAAAAGGCGAAAUAUGGGAUCACAUUUCUCAGUCAACUGUGAAAUGAACCGAGCAAUGUAAUUUAGUCUUCCUAAGAAACCUCAAACUUCUUUCUGGGUAUGUGGUGGCAAUAAAUCUCGUAUUGCAUUAACUUUGUCUGGAUCAAUCUCAAUUCCCUUUUUGCAGACUAUGAAGCCUAACAACUUUCCUGACCUAGCUCCAAAAGUGUAUCUUGUCUGAUUAAGCUUGAACUGGAACCUCUUUAAUCUUAAGAACAAUUUUCUCAGGACCUGUACAUGUUCAUCCUCUGUUCUGGAUUUGGCAAUCAUAUCAUCAACAUAUACUUUAAUUUCUUUGUGCAUCAUAUCAUGAAACAAGGCUACCAUGGCUCUCUGAUAUGUUGCUCCCGCAUUCUUUAAUCCAAAUGGCAUCACCUUAUAGCAAAAUGUUCCUCACAAAGUAAUGAACGUAGUCUUUCCCAUAUCUUCUGGAUGCAUCUUUAUCUGACUAUAUCCUGAGAACCUAUCCAUAAAAGAAAACAGCAAAAAUCCUGUCGUAUUGUCCACCAGAGUAUCAAUAUGUGGCAAUGGGAAAUUAUCUUUUGGACUUGCUUUGUUCAAAUCCCUAUAAUCCACGCACAUUCGUACUUUUUCAUCCUUUUUAGGGACUGGAACGAUGUUGGCUACCCAUUCAGAAUAUUUGACCUCCUGCAAAAACCCAGCAUCAAACUGCUUCCUAACCUCCUCUUUUAUUUUGAGCACAAUAUCAGGGCCUUAUUCUUCUGAGCUUCUGUUGAAUUGGUUUGCAAUCCUCUUUUAUGGGUAGGCGAUGCACUACAUUGUCAGCACUAAAUUCGGGCAUAUCCUGGUAUGACCAUGCGAAGAAAUCUUUCAAUUUUUGGAGUAAUUCAAUGAGGUCUCGUCUUGUCUUUGUAGAAAUCUCAGUUCCAAUUUUCACCUCUUUUCCUUUUUCCAAGCUCACAAUUUCUACUGAUUCUUUGUGAGGUAGGAUUUGCUUUUCCUCUUGUUCUACCAUCCUCAACAAGUCCAAAGAUAAACCACUAUCUUCAUCACCUUCAAAGUCGUGCGAUCCCUCUAAACACACGUUUCGUUCAAAAGGGCACUCUGAGCUCGUAGCGGCGUCAUUCACAUCGUUGAUACACAAGGACCUAAUAUGGUUACAAAAGAAUGUAUGAAUUUAUGCACAAUUAUUUGUUCAAUGAAAGAAUAUAUUUACUUGUAUGGAAAGAAUAUUUACUUGUAACAAUUGCAAAAAUUGUAUUUUAUUAAAAUAAUUAUGUUUAAACAGAAGCCUAUUUCACAAAAGAGUUCUUGUUAUUUCUAGGCUAAAACAAAAAGUUUUUUCUGAAUAUUACUCUGAGACAUUUCUAAAGACUUUAGGUAUUUCUUUUGCAGUCCAAUUAUCUGGAACAUUCCCGGGCUCAUAAGGACGAAUGUCCAGCCAGCUCCUCUCUUCAUUCACAUACUUAUGAAUGGCAUUGAUGUGCAUAUUUCCCAACGUCUCCUCGAUGCUUUCCUCAACCAAUUUCUUUUUCUCAUGAUGAAUAACUCCUCCAGAUACAAAAGUUUUGGAUAUGUGGGGGAUUAUCAUUGGCUCCCACUUAGCUUCCUCCCCAUUUAAACGCGCCCUUCUCCUUUCCUGCCUUUUUCUAUCUCAUUCCUUCUCUGCCCUCUAUCUGGUUUGUAUCCUAAGCCAAAGUGAUCCUACUUUUCUUUUAGCAUUGGAACCUUAGUCCUCCCUUGAAGAUAUCUCUCUAGCCCUCUUCCGGGUAAAGCUCUUUUUUCCACAAACAAUUGUAAACCCAUCUCUGUAGUUUUGGAUAAUUUUGGCACCAAAAUUUUUCUCCCUUCAGGAACAAAUGCUGCAUUUACAAACUCCAAAGAUUGAAAUGAGCAUUCUAUUGACUUUUCAUUGGUCUCCACGUAUGACGUCUCAUUGGAUACAGCCGCUAUUAUAUCCUCUUCGGCUUUUAUUGUCACUAGCCGACCAUCUGACACUAACUUCAACAUCUGAUGUAAUGAUGACGGUACUGCCCCCGCCGAAUGUAUCCAUGGUCUUCCUGAUAAACAAUUAUAGGAAGGCUUGAUGUCCAUUACAAUAAAAUCUACCUCAUAAACUGUUGGGCCAAAAAGUAGGGGUAUCUCAAUUCUUCCCAUGACCUUUCUUUUUGUAUCGUCAAACGCCCUCACUACAUUUGGACAUGUUUUCAUGUGCGAACUGUCUAUGGGUAGCCUGUUAAGUGUGAAUAAUGACAAUACGUUCAAAGCUGAUCCAUUGUCAAUCAGUACUCCUGGCAAAAUAUGCCUCUUGCAUCGUGCAGUGAUAUGCAAAGCUUUGGUAGAUCCCAUGCCCCUAGGAGGUAUUUCAUCAUCAUUGAAAAAUAUGAAAUUAUCAGCACUGAUAUUAUUGACCAACCGAUCUAGUUUGCUGACAGAAAUAUCCUUGGACACAUAAGUCUCAUUUAGCAUCUUCAUUAGUGCAUUUCGAUGUACAUCUGAAUUCAAAAGUAAUGCUAGUACAGAUAUGCGAGCUGGUUGUUUAUGCAACUGCUCGACGACAUUAUACUCACUAUGGUUUAGAAAUUUGAGGAAUUCCACAGCUUCUUCCUCCUUUACUGGCUUAACUAUUCUCCCUUUCUGCUCCCCUAUUAUGGCCCCUUUCAUAGAAUCUAGUUUGGCACUCACACACUGGUCCUUUGUAGUCUCUCUUCCAGGGACAGCUGUAUUGCACUCGUAGCUCCAUGGAACCUUCCUACUGUCCUGGUAAGAAAAGGUUGUAGGUUUCUUUAUUAUGAUUCUUGGCAUCACUGGCAUUCUCACUUCAUCCUUCUUUGGUCGCGAGAUGAUGACUACAGGCUGCGCUACUCUUGGAACCUUCGAUGAUUCAGAUGUGCAAAUACUCCCUUCCUCCCUAACUUCCUCAUAAAAUUCCAUUUCUUUAUUAUCCAUCAGGCCUUGAACCAGGGCUCUGAAUUCAAUACAUUCCUGGAUUUCAUGUCCCUCCUCGUGAUGGAACUCACAAUAAUUUUCCAUCCUUUCGAAGCUUCUCUCUAAAUUCGGAACAAUCAAUCCCCUUUUUACCAUAUUUCUCCAGACCCACCUCAAAGGAAUUUUCACUUCUGCUAUGUCUUCCUUGAUUUUUCUACCCAUGCUCCCACCUAUCAUGUUCACUCCGUUAUGAUUAGGUAUCAGAUUUUCUGUACUAGGCGAAUCAUCCAAUUUAACCACACCCAUGCUUAUAAGUCUUUCCACCAGCUUCUUGAACGCCGUACAAUGUUCUAUAGAAUGCCCCUCAAUUCCCGCGUGAUAGUCGCACUAUGUAUUUGCAUCGUACCACUUAGGGUAUAGAGGCUGCAGAGGUUUCAAGUGGAAAGGGGAAACCACGUGUGCAUUGAAUAGAUUCUGAUAUAGCUCUCUAUACGUCAUUGGAAUUGGCGUAAAUUGAAUCUUCUCUGUAGUUUGUCUUGUAUCAGAUCUCUGCUUUGAUGAUCUUUGCUGGUUAACAGCCAUUUUUCCCAGCCGGUUCACUGUAACCGUUCUCUUUCUUCUUCGAGGCCGCCCUUCUGCUACUUUCUCCAGCAUCUAUUUUCCCGCUUCUGAUAGCAUUUUCUAUCAUCUCACCAUUCAUAACUAUGUCGGAAAAACUUUUAGUAGCACCUCCUAACAUAUAUGUAAUAAAUGGUGCCUUCAAUGUGUUGACGAAAAGCAUCGUCAUCUCUCUUUCUAGAAGAGACGGCUGAACUUGUACGGCAACCUCCCUCCAUCUUUGCGCGUAUUGCCUAAAGCUUUCGCCUGGCUUCUUUUCCAUAUUCUGCAGAGUGAUCCUAUCAGGUACCAUGUCAGUCACAUGGUUGUACUGCUUUAUGAACGCUUGUGCCAAAUCUCUCCAUGAAUUAAUCUGGGUACGGUUCAAUCGAUUGUACCACUUGGAUGCUGCCCCUGUGAGGCUAUCCUAGAAGCAAUGAAUCAAGAGUCGGUCAUUAUUGACAUAACCGGUCAUUCGUCUGCAGAACAUGGUAAUAUGAGAUUCGGGGUUACUGGUUCCAUUAUAUUUCUCAAACUCUGGCAUUUUGAAUUUGUAAGGGAGCAUUAAAUCCAGAACCAGACUCAAUUCUUUAGCAUCCAUCCCAUAGUAGCCUUCUGCACAUUCCAUCGCUCUAAAUAUCUCUUCCAGCCAUUUGUACUUUUCUUCUAGCUGUUUUGGCAACUCAUCAUUCAUUUUCUCCUUUUCAGCCGUCUCAUCGAAAUCAGGAAUAGCAGGAUUAACAAAGUUGGCUCCGGGGUUAGAGCCUAAUCCUGCCUGGAGAUUCAUUAGCGUUGCAGCGUUACCCGGAGGAUUAAUGGUAACAAAGGACCUAAGCGGGUAUAUCUCAACUUGUUGAGGGAUAAAGUCUGGAGGAUAGACCGGUCCCUCAUUGUCUCCUUCUUCAAUAUUGAGCACAAAUCCUUUUCCUUUAUCAGUUCCUUUGUUGAACAAUUGAGUUAACUGAGCCAUCAUACUCCCUUGAGAUUCCAUCAUUUUAUCUAUCAUCUUUUGCUGCUCAUUCAUUUGCUUUUGAAGCUGCUCCUGCAUUUCCUUUUGGGAUUGUUCUAGUCUUUCCAUCCUUUGAUCCAUAUCCUUAGUUUUCGAUCGAGUACUGUAGUGGUGUUUGGUAGGUUGGUUGGUUUCGAUCGAGUACUGCAUGAAAUGAAUGCACAAAGGUGUCAAUUUUGAUUCAAUUCCAUAUAAGAAAACUUUACUAUAAAUUAAAUUCCUUUACAUAAAGUGAAUUACAAAUAAGACUUUGCCCUAGUACCCAAAACUCUAAUCUUUCUAAGUAACAAAGCUAAUUCUUGCCCCCGAUCCGAUUCUAAUUCAUACUUCACACUCAGCGUGUCAGCCUGUACUGCUAAAGUCUGUAUAUGAUCAGCUACUUCUCGAAUCUGGACCACAGCUUCCUCGAUAAGAUGAUCUCUGCUUCUAACUUGACUUUGAAAAUGGUGAAGCUGUUCAUUAUUACGACUCUCGUUUGCUUUCAAGUGCUUGAACUGGAUCUCAUAAUUUUGUAGGUUCGUUUCUAACUCUUCGAUUCUUUUCUUCAUUUCUUCAAUCUUGCUCAAGCUAGCUUUCAACUCUUUUGCCAAAUUUCGAUUUCGAUAUUGACGAUGACAUCCUUCCAACACCACCACCCUAUCCUUUAGCUCGCCUUUUUCCCUUUGGCUUUCUAACAAACUCUUUUCUAAAGCUUCAUUUCGUCUCUGCAUCUCUUGACAUUUCUAUUCCCAUCUAUCAGCUUUUUCCUUUUCUUCUCGGAUUUCUUCUCGUCAUUGUUCUGAAGUCUUUCCCAGCCCAGCAGUUCUCAUUGACAAACGUAUUUUUUUAUAAUCCGUCUUCAGACUACCUAGCUUUUCCUCAGCCUUGUUUUUCUCUUUCUUUAACUUCUUAUUUUCAAGCUUUUGAACGUCUAUAUCAAAUCUUAAGUUCGUCUUUUCCGCCUUCAUUUGCUCUAUCUUUUUCUCCAAAUACGUAUUUCUCCUCUCAAAAUCUUGCCUUAUGAUUUCCAACUCAGAAAGAAUGACUCACAAAUGCUCUUCUAUUGACUGGCUAUCUUCCUGAUUUAACUUAGGUGUAUUAUCAUUAAUCCUUCUAGCCCACCAUUCAUGAUACUCGGGAGUUGUCAUUGGACCCAUAGCUAGCCUCUUCAUUCGGCGAGUUUGUUUCCACGCACUAGCCAUCUCUUGAAUCUUCUUUCUAUAACCAUCAUCCUUGUAUGAAAAUUCACAAUCAGCUAUCCCUUGGGUCACAGGUAUAAAUUGCCAUGACCUAUAUUGCCUUAGCACCAAUAAUGGGGCAUAUCCAGCAGCUCUCGAACCCCUAGCAAAGGAACCCAAUCAAAACUACCACACCUAUACAAGAUCUCAUCUGGAAGUAACCAAUGAGCUCUUUACUCAACGUCCUCCUCUCGAAGAUUUUAAAGAAUUGCCAUCCACUUCUCCUUCGAAAUGUCGUCUCUCCUUGGCGUAGCGACUAUCUCCUUUAGUGGUGAAUUUUCAGAGAAAACCCGAUACGAAACUUUAUCCACCUUCCAAAAGUGACUAUGAAACCAUGCGAGCAGAAGUUGUGCACAUCCAAUAAAUCUACCUUUGCCCUUCUUCCGGCAUGCACUCAAUGACCUGAAAGUUUCUGCCAAAAUUACUGGAAUCGGUGUAACCUUCUUAUUGAGCCGGUCGAAUAAAUCAGUGACUGCUUCAUCCACAUACCCCAAGGCUUUAGGGAAGACAACCAAACCGUAUAUACUUAAAGCAAAAGCAUCUAACCUUUUCCUUACAUCUGGGUGUGUGAGAAUUGCAUCUUUCAAGCUUCUCCAAGGGACGCACUUACUAUCCCCUUUUUGCUUAAUUCGUGCGACAACCCACUGCUCACUCAUUCCUGUUACACUCAUCAACUUCUUUGAAAAGGUUGGUACAUUUACCGCUCUCGAGUAGACUCUGUCUACUUGAAACUUUGAACAUCAAAGUAAAGCCAUAUAUUCCUUUAUCGUAGGCACCAAAUCGACUUUCCCAAACGUAAAGCAGCUGUAAGCAGGAUUCCAGAACUGGGCGAGGGCUUGAAAUAAAUGCUUGUCUACCUUUACAUCAAGCAAAUAAGGCAGAUCCCCAUAAUUAUUAUAAAAUAACUGUCUAACCUCAUCACUCCACUGACCCUAGAUUUCCUUCAAUUCUUGAAAAUUGUUUUGAGUUACACUGAUAUGCGUAAAGUCCCAUAACUCCGAUACAAGCCCGCCAGCCAAAUUAUCACCUUUUUCUUGCUGCGUUGUUUCAGACCAAAUUCAGACAGCCGCAUUGUCCUCCACUUUAUCAAGAAACCCUCUUUCCAUGAUAAGCCUUCUAUCCAGCAACUGAAUAUAGACUGACGCCUUUUAUGAUGAAAUGAAAUGCCAUGUCAUGCAAUCAAAAUAAAACACAAAAAGUCAGUAUCACAUAAAAACAUAAGAUAUAAUCAAGAAAUAGUAAAAUUCCUAAUUUGAUAUCUACUAGGGUUUAGUAUAGUUCUACCUAGGGUGGAUUCCUAAGGUUCAUUAUAUGAAGUUUGGCUUCUAGGGUAAAGGUACCCGAACCAGCAGAUUCCUCAAUCCUCACCCAUUAUAGGUUCAUAUGGAUCUAGUUCAGUUCAGGGGAAUACAUUUCCCUAUGACUGCACGGAGAUGCAAAUCUCAUGAAGACGUAGGUACGGAUGUAUCCCGAAAGCGGUCCACUACCCUGCACGGAGGUAAAAACCUCACGAAGGACUAGUUUCUCGCUCCCACUUAAAGGGUAAAAGUAUCCAGUAUAUGUAAUGUACAAUGCAAAAUAAUUUAAAGUACUUAAAUCAAUUAAGCAUGAAUGCAAGAGGAUUUUUAAAACGAAUUUUAUUUUUUCGACUAUAAGAUAAAAAUUAAUCAAUUUUGUGGCUCGACUCUCUUAUUUAUUUUUUUAAAAAAAGUCCCCAGUGGAGUCGCCAAGCUGUUGAAACCAUUUUUUGAAAAAUAAAAAUUUUAGGUUGUCGACUUUUAAAAAAUGAAAAUUGGGAGUCGCAACCAAUCUUUUAUUGAGGUGUGAUUGGAUCACCUAAAAAAACGGCUUUGGUCUACGAGUUUUAGAAAAACGGAUCCUGGAGUCGGUUACGUACGAGGAAGGAUUAGCACCCUCGUAACGCCCAAAAUUGGUACCUAGUUAAUUAAUUAAUGUCUUAAUGUCGAAAAUUUGAAAAAUAUAAUCCUUAGCAAAAACUUAAAAACGUUACGUAUUAAAACCUUUAUCAUUUCAAAGAAAGAAAAUGCCACACCCAAUGCGUUAGGGCACAACUUUUUUUUUUCCUUAAAAAUGAAUUAGGUCAGAAUACUCGUGUAAUAAAAAUUUAAAAGGAAUAUCCAUUUAUUCAAGAUUUAAGAAAUCGCGACCCAACACGUUAGGGCACAUCUCAAAAUCCAAACUCGAAUAUCCUAUAUUAUUAUAUAGAAAAAAAUCCCANNNNNNNNNNNNNNNNNNNNNNNNNNNNNNNNNNNNNNNNNNNNNNNNNNNNNNNNNNNNNNNNNNNNNNNNNNNNNNNNNNNNNNNNNNNNNNNNNNNNAAUGAGUUCUUAUUUUUUGAUUAAAGAGAAAUGCUCGAUUGUAGAUUUAACGAAGAAAAUCAGAACCCAAUACGUUAGGGCUCAAUUUCCUUGAAAAUCCUAAAUACGAGCAUUAUCUCAAUUUGGAAUUUUUUUUUUAAAUCGAGUAAAAAAUGAUGUAAUGUUAUAUUGAAUGCAUGUAUAAAUAUCGCAAUAACAAAUAACAAUAAUAAAUACAACAAUUGUAUAAAAAUAAGAUAAACAAAUAAAUAAAUAACAAUAAAAAAAACCAAUGACAUGCAAAGUAUCAAAUAAAUGAGGAAAAUAAAAAAAUGAAAACAUAAAUCAACAAACAAAUAAAUAAACAAAAAAAAUAUAAAGAAAAAAAAAGGUGCAUAAUAUAUACAUUGAAAUUAUGAAAGAAAACUAUAAAAUUUAUAUAAAAAAAUAUUUAUAUAUAUAAUACAUUUAUGAGAAUAAAGAAAAAUAUACAUAUAGAAAUUAUAAAAAUAUGGAUAGAAAGUAUAACAUAUAUAUACGUACAUAUAUAUAUAAGGUAAUAAAUAUAUAAAUCAUAAAAAUAAUAAUUACACAUAUAAACUUAAAAAAGAAAAAAAAGAAAAAAUUUUGAAAUUAAUUAAUUCUAAAAAAGGGACUAAUGUUAAACUGUGAUAAAAAACUAGGGAAAAUUCGUAAAUAAAUAAAGUCUGGAGGACUAAAUUGAACGCACGAAUUAUAUAGAGGGGCUGGAAGGGCAAUUUUCCCUUCUCCUCUGAAACGGCGCCUUUCAAAAGGGUUAAAUUGAAAUUCAAAAUAAAUUAAAGGACGAAAUUAAAAAAACAAAAGCACCUAAUUGAAAAUAUAUUAAAAGGCGGAGGGGCCAAAAGUGCAAUUUGCCCCUCCGCAUAAAAUCACGCGGACCCUAAAGCGGAUCGGGUCGGAUUCGGGUCGAGUACUCAAAACGACGUCGUUUUGGGCAUCUGAGGGUUCCCCAAAACGAUAUCGUUUUGGUACCCUAUAAAAGCCCCUAACCUAAAAAAAAAUCAUUUAAAAACUUAUUUUAAAAAAAAACUUAAAAAAAACUCUCCCUCCCCCAGUCCGUCCGGCCAGGGGUCCGGCCAUCGGCCGAUCGUAGGGCCGGUCGUUGGCCAUCGUGCCGGCCGCCGAUCUCCGACGCCGGCACCGCCGUCUGCAGUGGCUGAAAAAGGGAAAAUCCCUUUUUUAUCAUUUUUGCACCCCUCUAGGCCCAAAUCUCGGCUAAAAAUUUCCAAAAUCAGCGAAAAAACUAGAAAAACCCCACAAAUCUUUCGGCAUCUAGUCGUCUGUCAUCGGAGACGAUCCUUGGCCUUCCUUUCGGCGUUUCAGAAGCCAAAAAGGUAUUUUCCUUCUCUUCUAUUAUUUUUGUUUAUUCGUACGUAAAAUAUAACAAUAAAGAAACAAAGAUCAACCUUUUUUUUGACCGAUUUAUUCUCUGUAUUGUGAAAGUACAAGUCCUUUUUCUAUUUGAUUUUUUUUCGAUCCCCAUUACAGUAUGUUUAAUGGCUUUUUAUAGCCAUUCUCAAAAUAUAUAAAGAAACUAAUCUGCUUAUAUUGAUUUGAUUUGCAAAUCUUCGAUCUUGUUUUCCAUAUACUAUUUAUUUCCUUUUUUGUGCGCAGAUGAAGAUUCGGGGGCUGAGAUUCGGAGGGCGAGGUUAGGUGGCUGCGGCACGAGACUCAUCGCAGAAACCCUAGGGUUUCUGAUAUUGUGUUGGGCCAUUGUUUUGGGCCUCUGCUUAUUUCGGGUUUUGGGCUACAUAGGUCUGUUGUAAUUUGGGCCCGUUUAAGCCCGGGCGAAAUCUAUUAUUACAACAGGUAUUAGAACAAUUAAAGUUAAGAUGUUUGAUGGAGUUGUCAGAACACUCAGUGAUGUACGACAUGUUCCAGAAUUGAAGAGAAAUUUAAUUUCGUUGAGUACUCUUGAUUCAAAAGGGUACAAAUACACAACUAAAAGUGGGGUUUUGAAGAUUUCCAAAGGUUCCCUCGUUGUGAUGAAAGGGUAGAGAAAGACUGCCAAGUUAUAUAUCUUGCAGGGUUCUACUGUUAUUGGUGAUGUAGCUGUUGUAUCCUCUUCUUUGUCAGAUGAUGAUAUUACUAAACUUUGGCAUAUACGCCUAGGGCAUAUGAGUGAGAAUGACAUGGUAGAAUUAAGCAAAAGAAGACUUGUUGAUGGGCAAGGAAUUCGCAAACAGAAGUUCUGUAAGCACUAUGUUUUUAGGAAGCAAAAGAGAGUUCGGUUCACCAAAGAAUUUCAUAACAUGAAGGGAACUUUAGAGUAUUUUCAUUUUGAUCUGUGGGGGUCAUCCAGAGUGCCUUCGAGAGGUGGAACUAAUUAUAUGCUAAUUUUUAUUGAUGAUUUUUCCAGAAAAGUGUGGGCGUUCUUCCUAAAGUAGAAAAACGAUGUGCUUUCCGCAUUUAAGUCUUGGAGAACCAUGAUUGAAAAAUAAAUGGGAAAGCAAAUAAAAUACCUCUGCACAGACAAUGACUUAAAGUUCUGUUCUGACAAGUUUAAUAAAUUGUGCAAGUCAGAAGGGAUCGUAAGACACUUGAUAGUUCGUCAUACUCCACAGCAAAAUGACGUUGCAGAACGAAUGAACAGAACGAUCAUGGAGAAGGUUCGAUGUCUGUUGUCAAAUGUCAACUUACCAAAGUCAUUUUGGGCUGAAGCAGCCUCUACUGCAUAUUGUUUAAUCAAUCGAUCUCCAUCUGUUGCAAUUGAGAAAAAGACUCCACAAGAGGUAUGGUCUGGUAAUCCUGCUAACUAUUCUGAUUUAACGAUCUUUGGUUGUCCUACGUAUGCCCAUGUUGAUAAUGGAAAAUUUGAACCGGAAUCCAUUAAAUGUGUUUUUCUUGGUUAUAAUGUUGGUGUAAAAGGGUAUAAGUUAUGAUGUCUUGAAAAUAAAAAAGUUGUGAUUAGCAGAGAUGUUGUUUUUGAUGAAAUUGCUAUGCUACCUAACUUAUCUCUUAAAGACUUUUCCAAUAAAGAAAAUCAAAAGUAGGUGGAGUAUCAGAUUAAUCUAGAAUCUACAACAGAGUCGACUACUGAAGCCAGUAUAAAAAUUCAAAAUAGAGCUUUUUCUUCACCACAAUACUUUAUCGCCAAAAAUAGAAUUAGAAGAGAAAUUAAACCUCCAAAGAAGUAUGUCGAGGCUGAUCUAGUUGCUUAUUCUUUAAAUUUGGCUAAAGAUAUAGAUGCAAGCCAAGAGCCAUCUAAUUAUUCUGAGGCGGUUAGCUGUAAAGACUCAGAAAAGUGGAUGUUUGCUAUGCAAGAGGAGAUGAAAUCACUAUACAAAAAUAAAACAUGGGAUCUUGUGAAACUUCCUAAAGGUAAAAAGGUUGUUCGUUGUAAAUGGGUGUUUAAGAAGAAAAAGGGGACUCCAAGAGUUGAAGAACCCAUAUAUAAAGUAAGGCUUGUUGCAAAGGGUUACAGUUAAAUUCCAAGAGUGGACUUCACAGAUGUGUUCUUCCCAGUUGUGAAGUAUAGUUAGAUUCGAGCUUUUCUUGGUAUUGUGGCCAUGCAUGAUUUGGAGCUUGAGCAGUUAGAUGUAAAAACUGCAUUUUUACAUGAAGAACUUGAGGAAGAUAUUUACAUGCAACAACUAGAGGGUUUUACAGUCUUAAAAAAAAGGACUAUGUUUCCUUGCUAAAAAAGUCCCUUUACGGUUUGAAACAGUCACCAAGACAGUGGUACAAGAGGUUUGAUUAUUUUAUGAAUUCUCAUAAUUUUAAAAGAAGUAGCUUUGACAGUUGUGUUUACUUUAAGAAAAACAGUGAUGAUUCUUUUGUGUAUCUACUCCUUUAUGUUUAUGACAUGUUGAUAGCAGCGAAAGAUAAAUGAGAGAUAAGAAAGGUCAAAGCCAACUAAGUGAAGAAUUUGAGAUGAAAGAUUUGGGACCAACAAAGAAGAUACUUGGUAUGGAGAUUCUCAGAGAUAGAAAAGCAAGUAAAUUAUACCUAAGUCAAAAGGGGUACAUUGAGAAAGUUCUUUACAGAUUCAAUAUGCAGAAUGCUAGGCCUGUUAGUACUCCUUUAACAGCCCAAUUUAAACUUUCAUCGGCUUUGUCUCCACAAUCAAAUGAUGAGGUUGAGUACAUGUCACAUGUUCCAUACUCUAGUGCAGUGGGAUCUCUCAUGUAUGUCAUGGUUUGUUCACGUCCAGAUUUAUCAUAUGCAGUCAGUGUAGUUAGCAGAUACAUAGCAAAUCCCGGUAAAGAACAUUGGAAAGCAGUUCAGUGGGUUUUUAGAUACUUACGAGGUACUACCGAUGUUUGGUUAUAGUUUGGAAGAACUAGAGAUGGGGUCAUUGGGUAUGUUGAUGCUGAUUUUGCUGGAGACUUCGAUAGAAGAAGAUCUCUCACAGGUUAUGUCUUUAUAAUCGGAUGUUGUGCAAUCAGUUGGAAAGCCACUUUGUAAGCUACAGUCGCUUUGUCUACCACUGAAGCUGAGUACAUGGCGAUUACUGAGGCUUGUAAAGAAGCUAUUUGGUUGAAGGGACUCUUUAGUGAACUCAAUAAGGACCUUCAAAUCAAUACAGUAUUUUGUGACAGUCAAAGUGCCAUCUUCUUUACAAAAGAUCAAAUGUUUCAUGAGAGAACAAAACACAUUGAUGUUCAGUAUCAUUUUGUUCAUGAUAUUAUUGCCUGUAGUGAUAUUGUUGUGAGCAAAAUUAGUACUCAUGAAAAUCCUGCAAAUAUGAUGACUAAGUCACUUCUUAUAACCAAUUUUGAGCAUUGCUUAGACUUGGUUAGUGUUCAUUGUUGAAGUUAAACCCUUAAGGGGUUUUAUGGAAGAGGUGGAGAACUUGUUCCUUGAGAGUUCACGAUGAAGAACUUGUUCAUUAAGAAUUCGUGUCAAGGUGGAGAUUGUUAGAAUUAAGUGACCCGAAUCCUUAUUUAAAUCAAAGAUAGUGGUAAAGUAAAAUAAAAGUAAAAUCCUUAUAGAAUUAUACUUCUUUUAUUUUAUUUUUAGAAUAAGAUUUUUUAAACCUUAUUAAACUCCAUCUAUUUGUUAUUAAUUAGAACCAGGUGUUUCAAUCUUACUACACUCCUAUUAGAAUAUGGUUUUAUAAGCUUAUAAAUAGACAUAGUCUACUCCUUUUGUAAUCAUUCGAAUUCGACAUAAUGAAUUUUCUUCUCCUCUGCCCGUGGUUUUUUUUCCCAAGAGGGUUUUCAAGUAAAAUUUGUGUGUUCUUUAUUUUUAUUUCUUUUUUUUGUGAUAUAUUGUCAUUACCGACAUUUUAUUUUUACAUAACACCCCAUACCCAACCUGGUUGCUAGGUCUGAGCUACGGGAUAUCAUACCCAACCUGGUUGCUAGGUUUGAGCUACGGGAUAUCAUAUCCAUUACCGGAGCAACUAUGAUAAAUUACAUACACAAUACAACCAUUUAUACAUGUAAAUAAAUUAUAUUACAUAUUCAUAAUAUGCUACAUAAUCAUUUCUGAGCCUUAGACGAGCUUACGGAAGCUCUUGUACUAACAUAAGGUUGAAUUAGAACCAAAUUAUAAAAAUUGCAAAAUAUUUGGAUAACAUCGAGAUUUCGAGGGGUUCCUCGUUGCAACGUAACUCACUGAUGAUUUCUCGUCGUGACGAUAAAGUUUUGACAUCAGGACGUGACCACUUGUUUUCAAAAGGUCCAAAUGGUACCUAAUCAAAACAUUCAUCCUAAUCAAUUUGUAUCCCAAAUCAACCAAUUCAACAUUCUAACCAUUUCCGUAUGCUAAAUUUCAUCUUGUUGCAUCAAUAACACCUAUACAUAACACAUCCAAUAUAUGACAUUUUCAUCAUUUCAUCCAUCCAACCAUUUCAAUUGGUAAUUCAUCAUAUGUCCCAUUCUAAUUCACUAUCAUUCAUAUAUACAUAAUUCAAGUAACAUAGCUAUUCAAACUUUCAAUUUUACCAUUUAUAACACACAAACUACUCGGUACAAGCCAUACUUUAAAAUGAAAAGAAACUAUACAAACAUUUCUCUGUCGAGGAAUGUUGGCUAGAUGCUGAAUCACGUCUUGGGACUUUGAGAUCCACCUAAUCCUACACACAGAAUAAACAAACCUUAUGCAAAGCAAUAAAUUUUAGUGGUACUUUCAUGAUUCAAGUCACAAAUAAGCAUAUUCACUAUAGGAAUUCAAUCAAUAUAUGCCAAAAUUCAACCAAAUCAAUUUUCAUAUACAACAUUCAAGUAUCAUUCUUUUACUCUAUUUCAAUUGAUGAUCAAACUGAACAUUUUUAAAUCAUGCAAUCUAAUGACAAGGAUGCAAUCAGUUUUAUUUCAAUUUCAUAUAUUUAUGUAUGCAUCAAUAUGACAUUGAAUACCAUUUUCAUCAAAUUUUAUUUAAUCAUUCACUUUACAUUUAAAUUCUCUUUCUCGAGUCUACUGACUCGUUCAAAUUUGAUUCGGCCCCGAAGGCUUAUUUAAAUCAACUCACAUGGUCUUUCACAUACUAUCGUUUUUCAACAUAUCACAUUUAUAAAAUCAUACUAUUUCAAUCUUAUCCAUCUCAUUUACCAUAUAAUCAAUUUAUAUUUUUUAACUCCAUUAACCAGACAAAGACUUAGAACAACGAUGACUCUGAAACAUGCACAUACUACCACCCCAAGUUUCCUAGCAAUGAUGGUACUCAUAAUCUAAUUAUUUCUCAUCCCGAGUUGUCUGGCAAUGAUGACUAUAUUUGUACAUUCUACCACCCCGGGUUGCAUAGCAAAAGUGGUUUCUUGAUAGGGACUUUCUAGGUCUACAACCUAGGUGCAAGUUACAUUCAAGUAAUAAAAUCUCGGGAGUUCAAGGUCGAUCCACAAGAAAGUUGAUUAAAGCUUACAAGAUUACAAGUAAUAUUCUAGAAAAAAUAUUUAACACUUAACUUUGGAAUGAGUGUUGAAAAUGAAAGUAUGAGCAAGAAACACUAGAAAUAAAAAUAAAACUUAACGAAAGAAAUUAACUAAAAAUAAUAAAAACAAAUACCUAGAAGAAAAUAUGUUGAGGUUAUAGAUCAACUCUUGGUGUCAUGUUAAGAUUAAAUUUUAGUACGAAAUCCAAUCUAGCCCAAAUUCCCUUUCCCAACUGCUAUUCGAAUCUCGAUCUCUGGAAUCGAAACCAAGACCAACGAGCCCUCGGUCAAGCGAAAGACUUACGACUUUGAAUUGAGGAUCGCUAGAAUUCGAAGCUCUUUCAAGUUCUCUGGGCACAAAGGAACUAAACACUACACUAUUCUUUCUAUCUCUUUAGUUCGAAUCGAAUGCUUUGAUGCUCUUAACAGAGAGCACAGUUCGAGCAGAAUCCUAAUCAGACUAUUGCUCAUACCUAGUCACUGCUUAAAACCUCAACACCGCGAGGUGUGAAGCGAUCUCGUACUAAACGAAACGACUUUCACUUUCCAUAAAAAAAGUGAAAGAAAGUAAACCUAUUCCUUCAAUUGCGGUCAGUCUCGCUACCUUUUUAGUUGCCACCCCCUACUUGCUCAUUCGCAAUUACUACCACAAGAAAGUCGCCCCUGGCUUAUGCACUUCACGACUUUCUUAUGUUAUGGGGUCUUGAAGACUGAAUUUUGCUGCCAACCCAAGAAGCAAGCUGAAAAAACCCUUUCUCCUUUUUUAUUUUAUAAUAAUAAGGUAAGUUUCAUAGCUCCAACCUAUACAAGGCCGCCGCUUACUAAGCGCUGGUUCUAUCCCGACCAAGCAACCAAAGCCAGGAACUUAGGUGGGAAUAGUGAAAGAAAGUGAAGGGGAAGAACCGGGGUAGAGUAAUGGUUAACUCGUCAGGCUUAUAAUCUGUAGAAUGCAGGUUCGAAUCCUGCCCCCGCCUAAUUACGUCAGAUACUUGAUAGAGUCCUGCUCGUGAAUCGGGGUUCUCAAUAGAGGAGAGUAAGACAAUAGAUGGAAAGAAGACCAUUGGAUAACAAUAAUUGGAAUGGAACGAGCAAACGAAGGCUGUUGGCGGGGACUAUGGUUUGAGUGGGGUCUGGACGAAGAUCGGGUGAAUGAGAUAAUUCCCUGUUUCAUUUAAAAAACAUCGAGAUUAGCCUGAUUUGGGUUAACUUUCAAAUGAUUUGGGCCAAAAAGAAUUUAUUUUUGUGUUUUAAUAUUCGGUCUAUAUAUUUUAAAUAUCAAUUCAAUCAGUUUUUAUCACUUUAUCUAUUUCUCAAUUCGCAAAUCGUAAUUCUUACUGAUUUAUGAGUUAACGAUUCUUUCUCUCACUCUAGAUCAAUAUGCAAAUUAGUUCUUGAUCUAACUAAUCAAUCUAAUCUGAUUUAAAAAAUCUUAGACAAAAUUUCGUAUUAUGUAUUUGACAUAAUAAAAUGGUACUUUUUAAUCCAUAGUUUAUUCAUUUAUUAUUUCUUGCUUUGACUACUUGUAUUAAUAUAACAAUCUUGAUGGAAAAUAAUAAAAUCUCUUCUUAUUUUGUAUAUAAUAUUUAAAACUAAAACCUUUAGAAAAAGAAAUUUUCUAUGUGGACUGGAUAGCCUAAUAUCGUGACAUGUAUAUAAUUUUAAAAAUUCAUAAUGUACCAUACAAUUUAAUUUGUGUUUUAAUUUGGUAAAAUUUAUAUUAUUUUACAUUUUUUAUUGAAUUGGAUUCUAUAAUUUAUAUUAAGACUAGCUACAAUAAAUAAGAGGUUUUUACAAAAAAAAAAAGUCUUUUUACUCUAAAUAAUUUUACACGAUCAAUUUUAAGUCAUUUAUAUUCAAAAUUAUAUUAACUUAGUACAAUUAUAUUAAUUAGAUGGAUACAAAUACCAAAUUCAUGGGACACAGUUAUAUUAAAAUUUCAAAUUACUCUAAUAAUAAUUUUGAAUACUCCAAUAAUAACACAUUGGCACUUUUGAAUUAGUAAAACUUUAAAAUUGGGCCUAAGAGUUUUAUAAGUUUUAGGGAUUUUAGCCUUAGAGUGUUCAGAAUUUUGCAACAUGUAUACCGGCAAUGUUUUUGACUAUUGUUUUUAGAAAAUUAAAUCAAUUUUUGAAAAUGAGUUUUAAAUACCUUUAAUUUUGAAAAAAUGACUGAUUUGAAAAAUAGUCAAAACUUAGAGUUUUUAAAAGGCAAUUGGACCAGAUUUUAAAAUCCAACCUAAAAUCCCCCAUUCAUAAUUUUAUUUUCACAUUAGUCUUCGUCUCCUCUCAUACUCAUGCCGUCCAUAGUUCUCCCAACUCUCCCCAUUGAUUAUAAAUUCCAAAUCAUAAUUCCUUUUGAUUUAUAUUAUCUCUUAUAAAUCUCCACAGGAGUUAAGAAAAAUACCUAAAAACACCAAAGUUUUCUCCAUUGUCAAGCUUGUGAGUUUUUUGAGUUUUCGAUCAAACUUUUGGUUUUCUGUCAACUAAGGUAACGAUUCAUCUUACCAUAAUUUUUAAAUGUUAUUUAGUCUUUAAAACCAAGUUUUUAGCCAUUAAAUCGCAUGUUUUUAAUAAAAGCCAAAAAUUAGCUCGUUAAUGGUGGAUUUCAAGAUUUUGAGUAAAAACAUGGUUUCAAAGUGCUUUUCAAUUCGUUUUGACAUGAUUAGAAGGUUUCUAAACUUACUUUGAAGUUUCAUUAAAGAUUUCUAACGUUUUAAUGAUUUUUGUUAAAAUUACCACAAACAUGUCAAAAAAGUCGAUACUAUGAACUAAGUAUUUUUAUGUAGUUUAAAGGCUGGGAAUUAGUCGUAGGUGAAUUAUAAGAUGAAUAGAUUUUAGGCAAAAAUAUUGAGUAAAGAUUGAGAUAUUUGAGUUUUAAGUUUGCUAUGUUAACGGUCUUGUUUACAUGAGAACCUAACUUAGGCUUGUGUUUUUGGAUUGUUUAAUGUGAGUCUUUGGUUGAAUGUUGAUUGUGUUGUUGUGUGAAUUACCUUGUUGGAGUGUUGGAAUCAAUAGGACCUUCAACGAGUAGAGAUAAAGGCAAGGAAAAGCUAGUUUGAGCUUUUGGCUUUUCAGCGAAAGCGUAUUGGUGAGUGUUUGGAAUAAUUGCUUGUGGACAUGAUUCAAUGCGUUAUUUGGGAAUUUAGUAGUAACCUAAACCCUUGCUCUAAAUUCCAAGUGUAAGCUUUCUCAUACCUACGUUAUCUUGUGAACUAUGUGAAUAUGUGAAUUGAGAUGAGAUGCUAUAAGAUGUGAUAUGUGGUUAUGAUGAUAACAGUUGUGAAAGUACAAAUGUGUUCAUGAUAUGUAUAUGUUAAAUGUUAAUGACAGUGUUUUGCUAAAGAUGCAAAUAUGCGGUGGUAGUGCACAGAUAAUCGAUAAGUGAUAUGUGUUUGAUUUCAGAUAUUUUGGCCUUGUGAUCUUAAAACCGUUGGAUAUAGUUGGCAUGUCAUAGGAUUGUGAGUACUCGCCUAUAUGUACAGUGAUUUUGGGCGUUGAGACCCUAGGACAUGUUGGAGUGAUAAGGGAAUGUGAGCUAAGCUCUAUUCAAUGGGACAUGUGAGGGGAAAUAAGGAGAGUGUUAGUUUUAUGCUUCACUUUUGGGACAUGUUUGUGUAACGCUCCUAACCUCUCUCCGCCACUCGAGUUGGGACACAAAGUAUUACGAUAACAAUUUAAACAUUUAACAUUACUAUCUCAUAAAUAUUCAACCAUAAAUAAAAAUAAUCAAAUUACAAUCCAAUCAUAGCAAACAAACACUUAUGGACCUUAAACCGAGUUUAUUGGGCCCUAAAAAUAGUUUAAGAACAUUCUGGGGUCAAUUCGAAAUAAAAUAGAAAAAUUUUUAAAAAUGAAAAUUUGAAAACAGGGGACACACUGCCAUCUGUCACAGUCUAGAUCGUGUGGACAUUCAAAGUACAGACACACAGCAAUGUCCCAGCCAGUGUGUCCACCCGUGUGGAUAUUUGAAUUAAGGUCAUACAGGCGUGUGAAACCUGCACCUAAGGACAAUAAGACACACGAUCAUGUGAGUGGACCAUGUGUGUCACACGGCCAUGUGACAGCCUGUGUCCUAGGUCGUGUGUAGCAUAUCUAACCAUUGAUUCACGCCAUUUCAUACAUCAUUCAUUGAGUAGCAAUUCAUACCACAUCUAUAUCCAUUCAUAUGUUCAAAAUCACAUUCAAAUCAUCAAUUACAUGCCAAAAAUUUAUACAUACCAAUAUGCUAUUCAAAGGCACCUCAAACAAAGAUUAAUCAUUCAAAUAAUCAACCUAAGAGAACAUAUGACAUCAACCACAUUUUCAUACUCAACCUCCAUCAAAAUAGCCAAAUAUAAUCACUUUCAUCAAGUUGUCAUUAUAACUAACAUUUAGCAAUUCACAUCAACAAUUAUAUACAUCCAAAACAGUCAAACUCAUCAAAACAUACUUAUUUCAUUCACAAACUAUAUACAAGCAUUUUUUUAAGGCAAUCAUACUCCAGAAGUUUACAUGACAGUCAAUAAAAGUAGCCUUCACUAAGUUCAACUAUAGACCAAAAACCAUUACUCAAAACAUCAUCACCCUAGGUACAUGGCAAGACAUAAAAAGAAAUAUGUCACCAAUGUUGAGUUUGGGAUUGUCGUUGGAUGUCGAGUCGUUAGACAAAAGUAGGUGCCUAACUUGCAUACAAUUGAAUGAUCAAAUAUUGAGUAAGUUCACUAAUCAAAGAACUAAAAUUACAAUUAAUGUCCUUAAUUUUAUAAUCCAUAACAUGUAAUAUACAUUUCCAUUUAGUUUACUAUCAAGUUCAACAUGAGCCUUUCAUACAUCUUCCAAGAUAUUUUUCAUAUACCAACCUUUUUCGAUAGAUCGAUUAUACAUUGCCAAUAUGGACCAAUCUAUGGAUGGCACCCGGUGCCUAUCGGUUAAACUGUAACCAAGUUUUACACCCAGCGCUAGUUGGAUAAACCGACGAUAUUAAAUGUGUGCCCAUCACUAGUCAGAUUAAUCGACAAAGAUUUGUUCCCAACGCUAGUUGGAUAAACUGAUGAUAUUAAGUGUGUGCCCAGAACUAGUCGGAUUAACCGACAAAGAUUUACGCCAAGUGCUAGUUGGAUAAACCGACAAUAUUAAAUGUUUGCCCAGCACUAGUCCGAUUAACCGACAAAGAUUUGUGCCCAGUGCUAGUCGGAUAAACCGACGAUACUAAAUAUGUGUCCAACAGUCGUCGGAUUAACCGAAAAAUAUUUGCACCCAGCAUUGGUCAGAUAAACCAACGAUAUUAAAUGUGUGCCCAACACUAGUCGGAUUAACCGACAAAGAUUUAUGCCCAACGCUAGUCAAAUAAACUGACAAUAUUAAAUAUGUGUUAUGUCCUACACUUCCUACACAAGAUCAGAUAAUGUCAAUUCCAUCCUAUCAUAACUAAACUUCUUAAGUUUACCAAUAUUUCUCAUAAAUGUACAACUUAUAAAUGUACACAUAAAUCAUUUAUCCAUAAAUAACCAUUUAAAACUAUUUUCUCAAUCAUUCAAUUACUCUUCACUUUCCAUUAUACUUUCAUGGUCUAUUUCAUAUAGAAUUAUCAUUUAUAUAUAUAAUUUCCACAGUUCCUUAUUUCAUAAUUCAACCAUUGCAUCAAUGAUUAUAAUUAAUCAUUUAAUCUAUUCCAUAACUAUACCUAUAACUCCAUAACUCUUCAUCUAACUUUUAGUCAAUUAUAUUUAUAUCGUUGUAAUUAAACAUAAAAAUAAUAAUCAAUGUAAUUUAAGUAAAUAAAUAAAGUUCGAGAUUAAGGACUACGAACUUACUUUGACAAUUACAAUUGUAAAAUCAAAGCCGAUGAUUAAUUCGAUCCUUUAACUUUUUCCUCGAUUUAGGUCUAUUCAGUCCAUUUCUUGAUCUAAAUAAUAAUAUUUUUCUUUCAAUUAAACCUUUCAAAUAACUUAAUAUAAUUAAUACAACCUAUAGCCCUUUUUAAUGGUAAAUUUACAAAAUUACCCCUAACAUUUUACCUUUUAUGCAAUUUAAUCCCUAAAUCCAAUAUUUGUAAUUUAACCACCCUUAAUUGAAAUUCAUGCUAUCUGAAUUUCAUCUAAUCUCAUAACAUCCCAUAUCUUUCACCAACUCACACUAUUUCCAUUGAAUUUUACUAUUUAAACAAUUUAAUCCUUAACAUUCAAAAUCACUAAAAUCACUUAACAAAAUACUUAUAUCUAGAUGCUAACUUUAAUAAUUCAUCAACUAUUUUCACAAGCACAUCAAACUCAUUCAUGGCAAGUCCCUAUAUUUUUAACAAAUUUACAAAUUGGCCCCCAGGUUACCUAGAUUAAGCUAAAACGAUUAUAAAAACAUAAAAAUUACUAAAAACAUGACAAAAUACCAUACCAUGCAUGGAAUUUAAGUUUGGUCGAAAGCUUCCAACCUCUCUAAUGGGGUUUCGUUUUGUUUCUGAGAAAAUAAGAAGAUGAUAGCAAUUUUUGGCCUUUUGUUUGUUUUAAUUUCCAUUUAAUUUUUAAUAUACAAUUUUGCCCUUUUAAAAUUAAUCAAAUUUCAUGUAUUUAAUCAUCCAACCAUCCACUAUGAAGUCAUUUGGCACAUUUACCCUUUAAGUCCAUUAGUAUAAUAUUCCAUAACCAAUUGACCCCUUUAUUUAAUAGAAAUCUACUUCUGCAAGUUUUUCAAUUUAGUUUUUUUUACUUAAUUAACUAUUUAAACGUUAAAAUUACUUAACCAAAAUUUAAUACACCUAUAUAAUCAUUUCGUAAAUAUUUAAUAUUAAAUAUUUACGGGCUCGAUAUAUUGAAAUAAGGUUCAGAGACCUCAAUUUCUAAAACCACUUAACUUUAGAGGCAUACCACUUGAACCUAACUAUUCUUUCAAUUAACAAAAAUCAUUAAAUAAAAAAUUAUUAUAAUACUAUAUUGGACUUUUAAAUAUUAAAUAAUAAUAUUUACAAACUUGCUCAUUAGAUUUGUGGCCCCAAAACCACUGAGAAACGGGCUGUUACAGUUUGACUCUAUGAGUCUAUAUGGUGUGUUGGAGAUCUGUGUAUCCGAUGAGUGAUGAUAAAGUUCACUUUUAUGUUUCAUAACUCAAGUGCCAAAUUAUCUUAAAUUAUGAAUAUGUGUUUAUAUGACAUGCGACCAUUAUGCAACUGAUCUAUAAAGAUGUUUUUAAGUAUUGAGAUAUAUGCUUGAAUGUUAUGUGAUUAUUUGAGUAUUCAGAUAUAUCCUUGUAUGUUACGUGAUUACAUGUAUAAUAUGAUAUAUGUUAAAAGUGAAUAUGUUUACCAUGUAAUUGAACUAGUAAAUAAUGCACAAGUAAGUCUAUUAUGACAUUAAAGUUGGAACUGUUGAGGUUUUGUUAUAUGGUUGUUUCGUUAAUGUUUGAUGAAUUGUUUGCAUACUAAUUUUUCUAGGCAUCCAUAGAGCUUGUUAAGCUCACCCACUCCUUCUAAACCUUGCAAAUUAAUAGUGUGCCGGUGUGAGCGGUGUGGUUUCCAAGGGGUGAUCAAAGCUAGUCAAUUUCAGUGAUUUCAUAGGUGUUAUUGUUAUUUGUUUAUGUUUUUGGAAUAAGGCAAUGUGGUAGACUUUUAAUGAUAUUUUUCAAGAUGUUUUGGAAGUUCUAUAGCUUAAUUGCUCUUAGGGUUUUGAGACUUGAAUCGUAUUAUACCGAUUAUCAUUUGAACUUACUUUUGAUAUUUGAUACUACUAUUACGAUCAUUUUGACGUUUAUUUGAUGAUGAUAUGAUAGCAUGAUGAAUUGGUACAUGUUGGAAUGACUUAUAUGCUCAUGUAUGUUGUAUUUUUCUAGUUUGACGCAAAGGUAUUGAUAUUCGUGUUGUAAAAAUGAUACCCCUGUUACUUGAAAUGUAUAGGGAGUCAGAAUCAUAAUUUGGUAUCGAUACUCUAUCACGAGUAUCGAUACUCAAGAUAGAAAUAUCGAUACUUUGGCAGAGGUACCGAUAAAUUUUGAGGUUGGGGUUUUUAAGCCAAAAAUAGUAAGUAGUUUUGGUGCCGAUUUUUCAUACGGUAUUGAUAUCACUUGAGAGAAUUAUUGAUACCUUUGUUACAGUAUCGAUACCUAUGUGAUUGUCUUGGAAAUUUUGCUAAGUGGACCUAAAGCAUGUUUAAUUAUUAUUAUAAGUUUACUUAAAGUAUGUUUGGCAUGUUCUAAUGAUGAUUGAUAUAUUCUUGACUAAAAAACUAUAAGAUCGCUAAUAAAGAGGAUGAUUUCUUAGUAAUGUGACAAUUUACUAUGAGUAUAACAAGUGACAGUGGUGUGACAUCCUGAUAUUCGGGCUUGGCGACUAGGUCGGGUAUAGAGUGUUACAAAAUCACUAAAUGAAUUUUAUCAGCAUAAUUAAAACUAUAAUUAAUAAAUCAUUGUUUUCACAAUUUUCUCUUAACUUCGAAGGCAAUGGUAAUUUCCAGACAAAAACAGAGGCAAUGGUCCUCGGGACGAUGUAAAUCGAGCUACUAAGAAGGUACGGUUUAAAGAGGACCACUGAAUUGUGGACACAAAAAUGAUGGUUGAACUGAGUUUGAUCCAAACAUUUCCUGGAAGGAUAAAUUGUUGGGGAACAGCUUCGGUAAUAAUAAGAAGGAGACGAUGGCUUCUGGUGAGGGAGGUGAUGACGAUGGCUUCUGGUGAGGGAAGUGAUGACGAUCUUGAGUUUUAGGAAGGAGAUAUCAAUAGAUUUAUUGUUAAUGGAACCUCGGCUAUUGAUUUUUCUAAUAGGAUCCAACGAAUUCUUUUCAAGGAAGUGGAGACUACGAUAAUACUAAAAUUGUUGGGAAGGAAUAUUGGAUAUAUGAAACUGAACAAUCGAAUUAGUAGUAUUUGGAGAUCUUCAAAGUCAUUCCAUCUUAUGGAUAUAGAGAACGUAUAUUUUUUGGCCAAGUUUCAAUGUUCUAAAGACUUUGAAAAAGUCUUAUCACAAGGGCCAUGGUUAAUAUACGAACAAUACCUAACUGUCCAACCCUAGACUAAAGAGUUUAACCCAUCAUAGCCCUACCCGAGCAUGGUAAAGGCAUAGAUUUGUUUGCCAAGACUCCCAAGAUUCUUGUACAAGGGGAAGAUUCCUGAAGAAAUAGGUGACAUUUUAAGGGAGGUUUCUAAAAUGGAUUUUGACACUGAUAGCCGAUCCAGGGGCCAAUUCACUCGAAUGGUCAUUUAUGUAAACCUGGACAAGCCUCUAGUGUUACAAGUGUUGGUUAACGGUGUGCUCCAAAAAGUGGAAUAUGAAGCUUUACCUACAAUAUGCUUCUCUUACAGGAAGUAUGGCUACACCAAAGAGAUUUACCCAUCAAAGGAGCAGAGUUCAACGAAAAUGAAGGAGCAGAUGGAGUCUGCUUUGGAUAAGGCUGAGGACGGAGAAUAGGGCAUGAGGUAUGAGCCAUGGAUGGUGGUGAAGAAAAAUCAAGUAACUGAUUUUACUAGUAAGGAAGGAUCGGGCUCUAACUUUGCAACGUUGUCUAGGCUACGAAAUUCAAAAGAAUUUGGGGACAAGAGGGUCAAGGAUAAAAUGAAGAACUGACAGGGAUUACGAAAAAACCUAAGGGGAAAUGGGGGAUUUGAGAUUUGGUGAAGGUUUGCAGGAAAUUUUUAAUUUAUUAAAUGGAGUGGAAUCGACUGAUGGAAAAAAGAAUAUGAUAAAUGGGUGAUUAAUUAGCCAACGAAUAGGGAGACAACCUGUUCUAACAAAAUGGGCCUUGAUGGAUCCGGACGAGCUUGAAGUCUCUUAUAAAGAGACCUAUUUUGGAUGUUGGGCCAAACAGAUUAACUAAUGGGUUUGUUGGUUCUUUUGUGACACGUCUAGUAAUCAUUAAGGAUGCGUGAGCUACAGGUCCAACAAUUUAAUUGUUUCGAAAGCUGACGUUUCUUUGUCGGGUUCAAUUAUUUUUAAUGAAAAAUCCAAUUCUUUUAAUUCCAUUUCUAUAAUUGUUUCUUGUCUGAACCCCUAGAAUAAUGGAAAUGUGCAAGUGUACACAAUCGCAACAAGUAAUAAAGCGACAAGUAAAUGUCGAGUUAUCGUACCCACGGGAACUAUGUAAAGAAAUAUUUAUGAAAUAAAUAAUUUAACAAGUUGGUGGUGAAAAUUUGAUGAUUUGAAAGGGGUUUAAUUAAAAUUAAGAAUUAAACUAAGUAAAAUAAAAUAAAAAUAACAAUUUCGAGUGCACGAUUUCAAAACAAGUUUUAAUCAAUAUGACAUAAAUGUGAUAGAUCAAUUGCAUUCUUUAACUUAACAUUACCAAUACUAUGUUCAUGUUUCUUACGAAUUUAAUUUACGGCAACUCUGCAAUUUGCUAACUUAUGAACAUACUCACCUACCAAAAUCCAUUUAUCUCUUAACUAUAUCUCUAUGUUAAUUCAAUCGAUUAAACAAAUUUUAAUGAGCAAAUGUGUUAAUGCACAUACAUACUUAUGAAAUUAAAAUAAUUUCUUAUACAUAUCUCUAUGCUAAUUCAAACAAUUAAUUCAAUUUUCAUAAGCAAGUAAAAGAUUAAGUGAGGUAACAAUAUAUCUCUAUAUUGAAACAAUUUAAUCACAAAAUCCUGAAAGUUAUGGAAGGUUAAUGUAUUGUUUAAUAUUGUCGCUAAUUUAACCUUAAGCUACCUUAGAAGAUUAAACAUUCUCCAAUUAAAUAUUGUGUCCAUUAAUUACAAUUUCAAUCCGCUUAAUAAUUAAUUCAAUUGUUACCUUACAAUUUAAAUGCAAGCAUAACAAAAACAUGAUUUUAUUUAAUUGAACAAAUCAACAAGGCCUAUAAAAACACAAACAUGACUGUUAAUAAAUUAAGCAAUAGAACGCAAUCAAUCUAACACGAAUUAAAUUUAAGCCAUUUUAAUUAAAUCAAGAGUAACGAAAUGAUGAGCAUUCAUCAUAACAGAGUCAAGAAAAUAAAAGAGUAGGGAACUAGAAAAAAAUUCAGUGUCUCUCUGAAGUCACUAACACGCUCCUUUUCUUCUUUGCUCGUUCUGUUAAUUCGAGACCUCUAUGAAUACUUGAGUGCUACUACUCCAAGGUGGAAGAAAUAUCUUUCUCAAGAGGACAAAUCGGCAAAGGAAGGGACAAGAAAGAAAAUGGAAAACAAAGGGAGAAAAUUGAGUAAAUAGAGAAUGUGUUGUGAAUGAAUUGAGUUGAGUUGAGUUGAGUUCUGAAAUGAGUAACAAAGGGAGGUAUUUAUAGGUGGGUUGGCUACUAAUUUUAGCAAAGAAAUAUCAGCCAUUAAAUCCCCCAUGGCUGGCCACCACUCAUGCAUUUGUUAAUGAUUUCAACUUGUUAUAUUUGGCUAGGGGCAAAUCUACAAAAGCAUAAUAAGUGGAGGAGUUUGAAUGCAAUUUCAAGGAGACUUCAAGGGCUGAUUUGCAAGUCAGUAAAUAAGCUGAUUUGAGCUGAUUGGGUCAGCAUUUUGGAUGGGUUUGGGCAACUCGAUUGCUCAUUUGGAUCAGUCUUUCGUAUUAGCACAACUCGGACUCAUUUCCAUAAUAUAUUCAAUAAUAAUUACUUAACCCAAAAUAAAUUGGAAUAAAAUUAAAAUUAAUUGUAUUAUGUACUUUUAUUCAUAAUUUGGAUCGUUUUAGGCUAAAAAAUUAAUUCGCCUCAACGCUUCAGAAAUAGCUUCACGAUUUGAGCUUCUAGUAGUGUCUGUUGAGCCAAUUUUCACCCUUUGUGCUAAUCUGUCGAAAAUAAAUCAAAAUUUAUGAAAAUUUUAUUAUAAAAUUAAUUAAAAUUUGAUAUGUUAAUAAUUUAAGUACAAUUUAAUUAUUUUAUAAUUAUAUUAUAUUUUUCAACAACAAUUACUACGAAACUGCAUGAAUUUUAGUUAAAAAUGGCAUAAAAAUGUCAUAUAUUUUUGUAUUUCCACACCCCCAAACUUAAUUCAUUGCUUGUUCCGAGUAAUGCACAAAUUGAAAAGAAUAUCUUGGAAACACCUUUGAAAAAUUCCUUCAGAAAACAUUCUUCCCAUAAUAUGAAGUUAGUAUACUUAUGCUCAAGAACAAAAAAUUUUGAGAUUUAUGCCACUUAAGUAUACAUAUCAUUCAAAUUAAUCUAAAUUAUUAUUAUGAUAGAAAAAAUAGACUAUAUGCUUUCUCAAUAAAGACAUGUUAAAUCCCUACCAAUUUGAUUUUAUUCCCUUAUUUAAGAUUAAGUUGCAAUCAUUAAGUUUAAUUUAUGCCUUUAUAUGUUGAACAUAGCAAUUUCUCUCCAAUAAUGCAGGUAGCACAGAAACUUUAACCAAUAGGUCUUUUAAAUAGGUUGUAGCAUGGCUAGGCUAGGGGUAGGUAAAAGAUAGAUAAAUUUAGGCUAAAAACCCUAGGCUCAGCUUUUAUCGGACCUUCGGAAUAAUUACCUCCAAUACACCAACUCAUUUUGCUUUUACCAGCUCUUUUGUACAUCUAUUUCUUUCGAGUACAUAUGCUCUCUCUUUUUUGAGCAUUUGGUACUCCUUUUCAACUCCCCCAAACUUAUUUUCAAAGAAUAUUCUAAAUACAUUGAUUCUAGUGUUUGGGAUAAUUUAAAGAUAAUUAUGGGAGAAGAGAUGGCUAAAUAUUGCAAAUGUUCAAAUAAAAUUAGGCCAUUUAAUCUCAAAGUUGGGUUUCAAGGGAUAAAUAUUCAUCAUGGUUGGCUUGAAAGGCUCAAACAGUUCAAACAAAAGUUUGCCUAAAUCAUUUUCAACAUUUCAUGCUUCUUAGGAUUUCGUCUCAAGAAAUUACUAAGUCAAUUCUAGAGACUUAAACUUUCACGGAUGCCUAGCUUUCCUAAGGAACUAAAAUUUGAUGCUAUGAUUUACAUACUUUAUUAAGAGUACAUUUAUGUCAUAAUGCAGCUAACAUAACAAUCAUUGAGAUAAAAGAACUUUAUUCAUACUGAAGUUUAACAUACCUAACAAAAUUUCAAAUUUUUGAACAAAAUAUAACUAACCAUAAUUAAAAGAAAAUUUUAUUCUGAGAAGAAAUGAUUUCAAUUUUUUGGUCCCCGUACUUAAGAUGAACAAUGUCCUCAUUGUUAGAAGUGAAUAGACACUAUACACCAGGUAGGAUUCUAUAAAAGAGGAGGUGAGUCAAUUUGACUACUUAAGUACCAAACUCUCUUUAGAUUGAAUCCUAGACAUGUACAUAUAUAUUGCCACACUUCUUAUUUUGUAACUUGUUCAUUUUUAUUUAUGAUUUCCACCUCUUAUUUUAUUAUGUGAGAAAUAAAAGUCCUAAUAGAACCUAAUCCUAAAAACAUUAAAUAUCCUAGGAAAGAAAAUAAUAUAAAGUAAAGAUCCCCCAUUCUUUUUUAUUUGUAGAUCCAUCAGAAUCUGACUCAUCUUUUGCUCUAUCGUUUUUGUUUUUGCAUGAAUCACUUCGUUCCCUCUUUGAUAUUAGGCUCCAUGGUUCAAAUAUAAAAUCUGGAAACUUGGGCACAAAAAUAAAUGAGUCAUGAAAUAUUUUCGUAAAAGCACUUCUCAUUGAGUCAUCCUAUAUUUUUUAAAAUCUCAAGUAAGCUUGUUGCUGCCACUGCAUAUGUUACAUUAUGUCCAUCAACUUUUACAGCUUAUCACAAGGAUCUGGGCUAGGCGAUUGAGCUCUGAAUGUUGAGGUCACCAUGUCAAGUUCAGUUAUUGGUUCAAUUGAUUCUUCCUUAUUAGGGAUUUCAGCUGACUGCAUUGGUUCGAUCUCUGUGGGAUGUUCUUCUUCUUCUUCGGGAUCCUCGCUCAAUUCAACUCGUUGCUGCAAAAUAGAAUCUCCUCCUAUUUGGCAGAGGUCCCAAUCUGUGAUUGUGCCUUGGCUAUAACUUGUCUUCUUUAUGUUUGUAAGAAUUUUAGCUUUCAAGCACAAAAUUGUUAUCGUAAAGGGAAAGUAUGCUGGGCCAGAACGUCUAGCGGCACAAUUUCAAAUUUCUCUUAGAAUGAUCUUUCCCACAUCAAUGGUCUUUGCCGUUAAAAUCGAGUAUAACAAGACCAUUUGCUCAAAUGAAAUUGUGGUCUCAUGUGAAAUAGGCAUAAGGUUGAUUCGAAUGAAAUAGAACCAUACCUUCGCUAAUGGUGUUAAAUAUUCUCUACGAAAAAUGUGAGAUCCAUGCUUUGACAUAGUCUACUUAGAACUCGGAACUGUAAGUUCCUCGAGAAUUUCUUGCAAUUUUUCAGCCUCAAUAUUUCUCAUCAAAGAAGAAUAUUCGUCGUCUUCAAAAUAAGGUAAUUCAAAGAAUUCAUUAAUAGCGUUUGAGCUUAUUGGUACCUUGAUUCCUCAAGUAGAAACUUUCGUUAAUUCACUUGAGGUCAAAUUCAUAUGAAAUCUUCAUCUAAGAUUUGCCGAGUCAAUUUUCACCCUUUGUACAAAUUUUUCGAAAAUAAAUCAAAAUUUAUGAAAAAUUUAUUAUAAAAUUAAUUAAAAUUCAAUAUGUUAAUCAUUUAAGUAAAAUUUAAUUAUUUUAUAAUUAUAUUAUAUCUUUUGACAAGAAUUACUACGAAACCACAUGAAUUUGAGUUAAAAAGGGCAUGAAAAAGUCUAUAAUUUUUUGUUUUUCUAACCCCAUAUUUGAAAGGACAAAAAAGAGGGUGGAAAAGUUGAAUGAUGCGGUAUUAAAAUUAGGAAAUCAUUUAGCAGCCCGUUUUAAAAAAAUUAAUUUUCAAAUGGGGGAAGUUCAGGGCGUAAUGGAGUUCUUAUUUGGAAUGGUGGUAGGUCUUCUGGUUCUAAAUGACGUAUCCCAAGAGUCAAAGGUGGCUAAAUUCGUAAUGGAAGGAGGCUUAAUCAGACAAUUUAAUAUCGUGGGGAGCGUUUUAAAUUAGCAAAUGUUCCCAAGGCUCCCUUAGUUGACUAGAUGAAUUCGAUAGUGGAACUUAUUAGUCCUUAAUUGAACACUGAAGCGAGAAAAAUGGUUGCUAGCCCAGGGAGAAAGCCUUUUGAUAAGCCCAGGAUCUCAAAGUAGUAAAGGUUAGUUUACUCUUUCUAUCUUUAUUUAUCAAUUUUUUCUUCAAACUGUCAGGGUUGUGCAAGUGUUAAAUUUUUGCGGAUUUGUUGUGAGUAAGGAAUAUAAUUCGGAUAUUGUUAGUUUGCUUGAGAUAAGGACUACUGGUGAAAAGGAAGAUAAAAUUAUUGCUAAGCUAGGAUUCCAUAAUUCUCACUGAGUGGAGGCAAUCAAUUUUUUUGGUGGUAUUUGGGUCAGCUGGAAAGAGUCAGUUGAAGUUGACAUUUUAAGCAACCAUCUCAAUUUACCUUUUUAUAGGUUUCUGAAGGUAUAAACUCCCAACCUAUUCUCAUUGCGUUGGUUUACGAAAGUCCUGGUUGAUAGAAAAAGAAUAAUCUCUAGAAGGAUCUUAAAUUGAUAAUCUCGAUGAGCUCUAUUCUAUGGCUUGCAAUUGGUGACUUCAAUGUUAUCCUUUCUCCCAAUGAAAAGUCAGAUGAUCAUUCGGAAAGGAAGAGAUGUUCGCUUUUUUGUAAAUUUAUUGAGGAAGUUGAUUUGCAAGAUCUGAAGUUCAGAGGCCCCUCCUUUACCUGGCAUAGGGGGAGGCAUUUUUGAACGGUUGGACAGAGUAAUAAAAAAUUUUGCUUGGGGAAAUGCUUUUCCCAAUUUUUCAACCACUCAUCUCUCUAAGUUGAAAUUUGACCACAAACCAUUAUUGCUCUUUCUUAGGCCAAAGAUCAAUAUGUCUAGGGGACAUCUAUUCAGAUUCUUGGCCAAUUGGGCGGAGCAUCCUAGUUUCUCUAAUUUCGUUAGAGAUAAUUGGAAUUUUAAUGGUAAGAUGGUCAAAAAUCUUUUUAAGUUCACCACGAACAUCAAAUAUUGGAAUAAGUUGGUGUAAGGAUACCUAGAUGUUCAUAAAAGACAGUUGACUCAAAAACUUGAAUUCAAAAAGCUCAAGAAAAGUCAUAUUUUGACUAUCUAGCCUAGUUAGAAUCUUAGGUUCAAGAGGAAAAUGAAAAUGUCAUUCAUCAUGAACAAUUACUGUGGAAGCCAAAGGCUAGGAGAUCAUAAUAUUAAGUUUUUUUAUUCCUUCAUACUGCUUAGAAGGAAGAAUAAUUGGAUCAAGAGUCUAAAGAAUGACAACGGAUAUUUGACAUAAGAUGAGGAAGAACUUUAAGAAGAAUCUACUAAGUUUUUUAAAAAAUUGUACGGUGAAAAUCCAGGCCAAAUGCCAGAAUUACCGAAUAAUUCCUUUCUGAAACUGAAUCACAGUGAUACUCUAUUUUUGGGAAAAAAAUUCUCAAAGGAUGAGGUAAAGGAAGUUUUGUUUGAUAUAGCCCCUUUAAAAGCUCUCGGAAGUGAUGGUUUUCACUCUUCUUUCUGAGCCAGUGGGACUUGGUUGGUGAUGUCAUUUGUGAUUAGAUUCAAAAGGUCUUUGCUAGGCACGCCAUUGAUCCCAAGUUAAAUAACUCAUUGAUAUUUCUUAUACCGGAAGUGCCUAAUUUGAAAGCUACGCCCAAUUUAGACCGUUAAGCUUAUGGCCAAUUUUUUUAGAAAUUGGUUAUGAAAGUCAUUUCUAAUGGGUUCAAUAUGGUUUUCCCUAAAAUCAUUGUGCCAAAGUAAACAGGUUUCAUUGCAGGCAGAAACAUUACUGAUAACAUUGUUGUGGCUCAAAAAGUUAUUCAUUCCAUGAGAAGCAAACAAAAAAAUAAUAGGUGGUUGGCUAUUAAGAUAGAUUUGAAAAAUGCCUAUGAUAGGGUAAGAUGGGAUUUUAUCAAUGCAUCUCUUCAAGCAACAGGUAUUCUUGAUUUCCUUUGAAACGUUAUCAUGUCUACCAUCAUGAGUUCUACUAUGCAGAUAAUGUGGAAUGGGGUGCCAACGCAAAAAUUUCAUCUUGCAAAAAGGGUUAGACAAGGAUGUCUUCUAUUGUCGUACCUAUUUAUCUUAUGUAAGGAAUGGCUUGGGCAUUGUAUUAAGUCAAAUAUUAACUCUGGGCAAUGGCAUCCUAUACGUUUUUCGCGAUCGAGUCCAACACUAUCACAUAUGUUUUUUAUAGAUGAUUUGGUCAUUUUUGGUUAAGCUGACAUGCAACAGGUAAGUUUGAUUAAGAAAAUUUUAGAUAAUUUUUGUGCUUUUUCAGGGUAUCGGAUCAAUGCUUCCAAGAUUAAUAUGGUCUUCUCUAAUGGGGUUGAGAGAGAAUAUGGAAGGAAACUGUGCUAUAUUUUUGGAUUUCAUACGACGCAGAACCUUGGAAGAUAUCUCGGAGUCCCUCUAUUUCAUGAAAGGGUAACAAACAAUUCCCUGAGGUUUAUAGUGGACAAGGUUUGAAGCAAGCUUCAGAGUUGGGAUACAAGGAAAUUAUCUAUUAUGGAUGGAGUUACUCUAGCCCAAUCAAUUCUUUUAUCCAUUCUGAGUUUUUUAACGUUGUCCAUAAUGAUCCCUCAAGGGUUGUGCGAGGAGAUCGAAUGUUUGGUGCAGUAGUUUAUUUGGGGGUCGUUUAGGGGUAACAGGAAGACACCCUUGGUGAAAUGGUAGGAGAUUUGUAAACUGUCAACCAAAGGCUUGUGGUGGAUUGGGGUUUCGAUAACUGAAAGACCAAAAUAAUUCAUUUAUCCUGAAACUGGAUUUCAAUAUAGUUUUUAACACAGAUUAUAUAUGGGUUCGGGUCCUCAGAUCUAAGUAUGCUAUCAAAGGAGGUAUCCUAGAAGACAUAUUUCGUAGCAAGUCUUCCUUCCAUUGGAGGUCUCUUUCUAGAAUAUGGCCUUUGCAUCAGGAUAGCUUAUUUUGGUCAGUUGGUAAUAGGGAAAUUAUUAGAUGCUAGAAGGACAAGUGGAUACCAAAAAUUAGUCCUCUGGUUAAUCACAUUCCAUCUCACGCUAAUAUGGACUUAGAUUGUCCCCUUAGUGAGUUGGUGACUGAAGAUAAUUUAUGGAAUAUAGAUUUGUUUCAAAUCCAGCUGUCAAAUGAUGUCAUUAGGCAUAUUGUAAGCAUUCCUCCUCUUCACCCUUUAGUCGGUCUGAAUAUUGUCAUUUGGGUUGGGGUUGCAUCAAAGACUUUCUUUAUUAAGAGUGUUUACCGAAUGCUUAGAUAAGAGACAUUGAAUUUGAAUGAUAAUGCUUAGAAGGUGGUAUGCAAAUUCCCGGGACCACAAAGGGUUCGUAUGUUUCUUUGGCUUGCCUUUAAAGAGAGGCUACUCACACAGGUAGAAGGAAAAAUACGAGGUAUAGGGGAUGAUGAGCAUUGCACGGUAUGCAAGAGUGCACCAAAAGAUGCCAUUCAUGCCAUAAUAGAUUGUUUCACUACGAAAGGAGUGUGGUCUAAGCUCAUACCAGUGAAAAAACAUGGUGUUUUCUUUUCAGGUAAUGUGACGCCUGAAUUUUGGGCCUAGAAGUAUUGGGCCUUGAGCUUGGAAGUGGAUAGGAGGCUGCUCUUAGAUAUUUUAUUUGUGCAAGUGAGUAACACAAUUGCAUGUUUGGUUCAGUGGCUAAGUGAUUUGAGUGUAUUUGGGAGUGCUUGAGAAGUCUGGGCUCAAGUUUGGCCUUUGGCAAAAUUUUACUUUUUGAGCUCUUAAGGGAACUUAGAUGUUAGCUUACAGGAUUUAUAAUUAUUUGUGGUUGUUUUAUGACACAAAUAGAGGGGAUGGUCUAGUGGCAAGGUGGCAUGUUGUUUUUGGUAAGGGCUGGAGUUCGAGUCUUACUGUAUGCAAAUGGGAUUAUAUAUUUUGCUCAUGAGGAGGUAAGAGUUGGUGUUGGAUUUGAACUCUAUUGUUGGAGCGUUUGAAUUGGUCUUGUAAGUUGGUUGUAGAGGAUAUCAAGGAGGGAUAAGGGGAGAAAAUCAAGGAGAGGGGGUAGAGAUUUUCAAGGAGUUUGAAGGCUUGAGUAGUUGUGCCGAAAUAGGUUUCUUGCUCUUGGAAAUUCGACUAGGGGCUUUUGUUAGAUAUAUCCGAAGUGCCGGAGUGGUUUUCUUGGCUGGCUCUUUUGUGUGUUGUCGUUUGGUUUGUCCUUUUCAGCUUUAGUUUUGUUUCUUUUCUCUAAAAGAAACCGAAUACUAUUUCUUCUCUGCUUGAAACUUCCUACUCAUCUAUUCUUUAAUCACUUUCUGCUAUAGCCGACCCUCUCUUUUACUUUCAUCUCUACUUCUUUUCCAAUUCUGUUUUUCCUUUCUCUGUUGGACCGAAUUCUCAUACCUUCUACAUCUCAAAUCUUUUUGUUUUUCUUGUUUCGGGUCGAAUCUUCCUGACUAACUAUUGCCGAAAUACGUUUGUUUUAUUGGUAAGGGGGUGUUACAACCACUUUAUUAUUUCGUUCUUAGUCAAAUUUCUUUUGGCUCUAUUAACAAGCUUCGGUUUUCCUUUUCUUUCUCUUGGGUGCCGAAUGUAUGGUUGUUUUCUAACAACUUUUGAUCUGGCGAAUCAUGUUAGGAGGGGGGAUUCGCCCUUAAUCAGCAGUGAGACGCUAGUAUCUGUUAGAUCUAGCAAGGUGGGUGUUUGUGGUUUAGUAAAUAAAGUUUAUGGAUUAAGAGUAUGUGUUAAUCUUGUGUUGCGUUGGUUAUAGGUUUAUUGCUCCAUAUUAUUCGCAGUCUUCAUUGUUGUAAUAAGGUGUGUAUUUGUAUGCGGUAUUCGAUGAUCAGCUGAAAAACCUAAAGUAUGUGUUGCUACACUACUAUGACUGUAGAUCGGCAAAAUGCCAAAAAGUCAGAAAUAUGGCUAUAAUGUCACACGAGCGUGCGAUCGUGCGUAUGGUGAACUGAGCCCACGAAUAUGGGUGUUAGUUUGUAGAGGUCACCACAAGUGCUCUCGUGGUCUUGGGCUGUUUUGGGCCUCAUUGGGCCAAAAUGGGCUGUGUGGGCCCAGUGGGCUUGUGGGCCACACAGAUAAAAUGUAUGUGAUGUGGUAAGUGUUGUUAGACUGUGACGUUUGCAUAGUUGGGGCCGUUAUGGGCCUCGAUGGGUCGAAAUGGGCCGCGUGAACCCGAUGGGCUUGUGGGCCACACGGGUAAAAUCCUCGAUAAGUGAUCAUUGAUAGGUUGGUUUUUGAGGCUCGCGAUGCCGUAUACGAAUCUGGACUAAAUGGGUCAUACGAGCGUGUAGGCCCACUUGGGACCAAUAGCGAGUUUUAGGCCCAUAUACACUGUUCUGGCCUUGUAGGUUAUCUAAGUCACUCGAAGGGACGAUAGACCUUUUAGGAGGUCGUAAUAAGUACCGAGACCCCAAUAUUUGUAAAAUGACCAUAAUACCCCUAUAGGGUAAAAUGACCGAAAAACCCACAUAGCGUAAAAUGACCGUAAUGCCCCUGUAAGGUAAAAAUGACAGUAAUGCCCCUAUAGGGUAAAAUGACCGAAAAGCCCCCAUAAGGUAAAAUGACCGUAAUGCCCUCGUAGGGUAAAAUGACCGUAAUGCCCCUGUAAGGUAAAAUAACCGUAAUACCCCUGUAGGGUAAAAUGAUCGAAAAACCCUCAUAGGGUAAAAUGAUCGUAAUGCCCUUGUAGGGUAAAAUGACUGAAGUACCCCUGUAAGGUAAAAUGACCAUAAUGCCCCUAAAGGGUAAAUGACUAUUUUGCCCCUCGAGUGUAAAUGAUUUAUUUUUCCGUGAUGUAAAUGACUGAUUUUUUUGUGAUUUAAAUGACUGAUUUGUUUGUGAUUGGUAUGACUGAUUUGUCUAUGAUUUGUAUGACUGAUUCUGAGUAUGGCAUUUUGCAUACACGACAUACUGCAUGGGGUUAGGAUACUACCACAAUCACUGUUACUGGUGGCUUGGCCACAUAUACUAUUACAGGCAACUUUGCUGCGAUACUGUUGCUGGCAGCUUUGCUACAAUGCUACUGAUGGCUUUGUGCCAAUCAUAUUACCAUUACUGAUGGCUGUGUGUCGAUCAUAUCACUAUUGCUGAUGGCUUUGUGUCAAUCAUAUUACUGUACUUAUGGCUUGUAGUCAUUCUGUUUAUAGCUUAUAGCUAUCCUGUUUACGGCUCUUAGCCAUUCUGGUUAUUGGCAGCUUUGCUGCGUUACUGAUUAGUGUCGCAACCGGUGUUGAGAUUGCUGUGUUGGCUGGGUGGGUCGAUUUUAUCCCCACAUAGUGUGUUGGUUGGUACGGGUGGUGUGUUGGUUGGAUUGGGAUGUGUUGCAUAAUUGCAUUGUUGCAUUUCUAUUACUGAUUCUGUCACUGUCUUGGGCUUAGACCCACAUGUAUUCUGUUUUUAAUUUUGAUACUGUAAUGGGCUAAGGCCCACACUGCACUUUUACUAUUUUGGGCUAAAGCCACAUUGUUCUGUUACUGAAAAGGGCUCAGGCCCAGAUUGUUACUGCUUAUAUUACUGACUGAAUGAUAGGGGAUUACACACUGAGUUUUUGUAAACUCACCCCGUUUUUAACCUUUCAGGUAAUCCCCAGCGUUAGACAGUUCGGAACUGUGAGGGACUCGAAGAGGGCCACACAACUGCACAAGUUUUAUUCUGUUUUGCUCAUUUACUAAAGCACUUUGAUUUUGAUUCGGGUUGUAAUAAGGCCUCAAAAAUUUUGGAUUUUAAAUUUGGGAUUUUAUUGAUUAUGAUUCUUAUCUGCUAGAAGGAGAACCCAGUUUUCCAAAAUAAUAACUAUUUUCAAACACUACGUUUCUGCAACUCAAUUUUUAAAUAACACGUUUUCGCAAGUCAUUUGUUUUAAAUUAAUCUUCCGCAACAAUAAGGUUUUGAAGGUAACAACGUUUCUUUAAUAAACCUCGAUUGAAAAUAAGCAAACACAAACUGAGGUUUUGUACAAGUUUUAAAUGGCAAGAAGUUUGAAAUUUCAAGAAGGGUUUAUAAUGAAAACAUGGUUUUCGAAAAACUCUUCAAUGUGACACGACAGAUUUGGGCCUAACUUCUAGGUCGGGUUUGGGGUGUUACAAGUAAUCUUCAAGAGUGGUUGGUAUCCUACUUGGGAAAUCGUUACAACUUCUUCUUAAAGGGAGUGGAAUGACAGUGUUUCUUUGGGCUAUUAGUGUGGCGCAGUUGGAAGAACUAUAAUCUUUUUAUUUUUCGAGGCGAUCAAUGAAGUGUUGAUGAAAUAAUUAAAUGAUCGUAUAGCUGGGCCUUAUAAUGUUACUCUUCUCUCAAGGUAUCCCAUCUCAGGAGACAAAGUAUCAAUAUGUUUGUCAAUGGAGAAAGGUCUUGGAUCUGUCUAAAUUCUAAUGGUGUUGUGAAGUUAGAUUUCGAGUUGGUUGUUUUUGGAGGAGUAUUGAAGGAUCGUCAUGGGGGUUGGAUUCUUGGUUUCAACAGGAGUUUGGGUCACUAUUCGGUUUUCAACGCUGAAUUAUGGGGGGUUAUUGAUGGAUUAAGGAUUUUACAGAGUUAGAAUUAUAAUGCAGGCUAUUCAGUAAUCAAUCUUAAAAAUAUCUUCUUUCGUGCUUAUCAGGCGUAUUCAGCUGCACUUGUUGAAUAUCAGUCAAUAGAAGCUUGAACAUAUACCUUGUGAAGAAAACUUUGAAGCAGAUCACAUCACUAAGAUGGUUUUUAACAGAAACAAGGGAUUCAUUUAGUUAAGGAUAUCCCUUUAGAUUGGAUUAAAUUAAUGUAAUCUUCCCGUUUAUUUUUUUCACCAAAAAAAAUCUAAUAAAUCUAUAAAUAUAUUAAUUAUGUCUUUCAAUAAAAAAAUAAUUAUUCAAAAUUAUUGAUCUACAAUUUUUUUUUUACUACCUACAUCAAAUAUUCAUAUUUGAAAUAUUAUAUGUUAUCUUUGAUUUAUUAUAAUUAAAUAUAUGUUUUUCACUGCUUAGAAUAUCAUUGUGUUUUUUUUUUCUCUUUUUCGCUUUGAUAAAUAUGGUAAUUCCUUAGAAUGAACAUGAUUUUUUGCACCAUUACAUUUUUAUGUGUAUCAAAUUUUCUUGAGUGUGAUUUAAUUAAAUCAUUUUAUAUCUUUUCUUUUUGAAAAUCUAUUUAAACGAUGCACCUUUAUAUAUAUAUAUAUAUAUAUAUAUAUAUAUAUAUAUAUAUAUAAAUAUAUAUAUUUAUAUAUAGUAUGUGUAAAUCAUUAGAAAUGUAUGGAUUGUAUAAAAAGAAGAGGUCUGGUUUAAGCCCUCAGAAUAAAGUUUUGAAUGCUUCGUUUAACUUCAACCAAUGAUUUUACUAUUUUUUCCACCAUUUGUGUGCCUUUCUGGUUGGAAUCUUAGUGGAAAUACGACUGUUUUAAUGAAAUUUCAACCAACUCAGCAAAAAAAAAAAAAAAAAUGGAGAAAUAGGAAAUCAAAGAAAAUUGAAUCAAGGAAAUCUCAAAUGAACUUUUUAAUCUCAGAAAAACUGUUUUACAAAGCUAAGCUUAAGCCUAUUUAUAGUAACUAAUAGACUAAGCUAUAACAAUAAUAACGGGCCACAACAAACAACCACUAGCCCAACUACUUAACCGAAAAAGCUACCUACCACAUAACAGCCUUUGACUCACUUCUGAUCUCAUGCACAAAAUAGAGUCACAACAUUCUCCCCACUCAAGUGAAAGAAACAUAGAGGUUUUUUUACUAUAAAUUAGAUUAUAAUUUUGCCCUAUCUAUUAAAAAGAAAAAACAAGUGCCUCUAUCUUAUAUCAAAAAGUAAACUGAUCUCUUUUUUUAUAAAAAUUUCACCCAUUUAUAUAGUUAAAAAAUAGCGUGAUUGACGAAAAAAUCAGACAAUAACACGUGGUAUGCUACAUCCAUCUCAUACUAAUGUAUAAGAAAUAGUUUUCAACAGUAGAAAUAGACGAAAUUUGUAACAAAAGAACAAGUUCGCUUUUUGAUCUAACAUACAUAGAUUAAUUUGUUCACUUUUUUAAAUAGAAGGAGAAAUGCAAUCCCACAUGUAGUAUAGGGACCUCUAUGAUACUUUUACACACUACUUGUGUCGCCUAGGGUGAGCUCCCUUUCAAUAAGUUAGAAGUCAAUACCAAAAUUUUAAAAAUUUCUAAGAGCAUAUCUUUAUAUACUUUAGUAUUCCAAAAUUUCUAAGUAAUACCAAAAUUUGUAAGAAAAAUUAUUAGGAAUUUUGGUAUACCAAAAUUAGGUUACCCAAUAAUAGUCUAAAAUGUCAAAAAAAAAAUUCCAAUAUUUCUAAAGAGCAUAUCAUUAGGUAUUUUGGAAUGUAGAAAAAAUUCAAAGGAAGUAUCAAUAAUUUUAUGGAUAGUUUUUAAAUAUUGGGUAUUUAUAAUAAAAAAUUUCGUAUAUAUAAAACAUAUUUUAUAAAAUAAAUCAUGUUGCCUAAGUGCUAGAGGUGCUCAUGGGCCGGGCCGGGCCCAGAAAAAAUUUCGGCCCGUAUCAUAGCUCGGGCCCGGCCUGGCCCAAAAUAUGGGCCUGAGAUUUUGUUCAGGCCCUGCCCGGGAAAAAUCCUAAGCCCGAGCCCGGCCUGGCUCGGCCUAUUUUUUAAUAAAACACUAAAAAUUUAUUUUAAAAAUAAAAAAAUUUAAAAAAAUAUUUUAAAAAUAUUUUAAAAUUAAAAAAUUAAAAAAAUAUAUUUAUUAUAUUCGGGCAGGGCCGAGCCGGGCCCGGGGACAAAAAAGUGGUGCCCGAAGCCCGGCCCGUUUUCUAAACGGGCCUUAUUUUUUUACCCAAGCCCAUAUUUCGGGCCUAUAUUUUUACCCAAACCCUCCCAUAUUUCGGGCGGGCCGUCGGGCCGGGCGGCCCAUGAGCACCUCUACUAAGUGCUCACCAAGAUUUCUGACAAAAUAUUAAAAUAACUAAAAUAAGAGUCUACCAAAUUUUUAAAGAAAUACUAAAAUUUCUAAACUUUUUUUAUUGAAAUAAUAUGAAAAACAAUUAAUUACCUAAAUAAUAUAGAAUGAAAAUUAUUUACUAAAGUAAUAUAUUUACAUAGAGUUAUACCUGAUAAGUUUAUGACUAAGUUCUCCAAGUCAUCGUCUAGAUAUGAGAGUCUCAAUCUCGCGAGAGCAUGCUCCCUUUGCUUUGCCGAUACACCCUCUCUUGGCUAUGGUUAUUAGGUAGAGGUCUUAUACUUCUCUCUCUAUAUCUCAAGCCCAGAAAGUAUUUGAAGAACUAAGGCAAAGAUUUGAAGAACAAAAGUAAAGAUUUGAAGAACAAAGGCUAAGUUUUUAUAACUUUGAAUGAAAUUACAAAGCAAUAAAUAAGUUUCUCUCUCUCUUUCUAACUACUACCUAAUGAGAGACAUCUGAGUUUCUUAUAUAGAGACUUGGGUGCUUCAUUGAGCCCUAUCGACAGUCUGGAUAUAAGUCACGAGAGUUUUCUUUCACAAUAACCAAUAAAGAUGGGUAGGCGCAUGCUUCCUAAAGGCGCUUUUCCCAAAAAUAAAAAAUUAAAACAAAUACAGAUAAGAUGCUUUUAGCUGAGCAUCUACAACUUUUAUCUCGUGACUCUCUUCACAGUUUUAUAGAGGUCACGUAUUAUUUUAGGGCUCCGUCUCGGUAUUCUUCAUCUUGGGCUUCUAAAGUUUUUGGGAUUUCUGGAAUUUUUCUAUUAUGUUAGCCCGACAUGCUAGAUUGAACCACCAUUGAUCCCACCCUUCAGAGGGCCUUUCAUCAAAUUGAUUUAGCCCACUUAUGUUGGUGGAUAAGUCUUGUUGGAUUUUUGAGAGUUUUUCUAUUAUUUUGUCUUCCUUCGUUAUAGGUUGCUCGGCGGUGGCCUCAGCGUAUGAGAUCAUGUCUUCUUUAUGAUUGGCCUCCUUUUGGAGAUCUUCCAUUCUUUUUAUAAGUUAUAUAUUCCUUACUCGCUCGGUCUUAAGUUGUUUUUCUAGGAGGAGUUUAUGUUCUUUGUGUUUUAUGAUUUGAUCUUAAAGUGCUGCCUUUUCUACUGAAGUUUUUAUUUCUAGUUGAGGAUUUUUAUAUAUUUUUGCCCAUUGUGUUGAGUUUCUCUGAAACAUUAUAUUUGUGUCCAAGGUACAUCUGGGCAUCUUUAUAUGCAGCUGACAAAAAGCUGGAUUUUUUUUGUAUAUUUUGGGUUUUUCUGAGAUUUUGUAUACUGGAUAAUUUCAGUCCAUUCUUUGUAUAUUCCUUUAUUGUCUCUUGUGAAUAAGAUAUAUCAUUUCUCAUUAUUAUGGAUGUUAUGAAAAUAUAGAGAGAGCCUGUUAAGACAGGCUAUUUGGUGUUUAAUAUCUCCCUUUUUAUGAGUUAUGAAUAUAUUAUCGAUUAGUAUUCUUUCUGCGGGUGUUAUGAUCGUAUUCUCUGCCAUGUUUCAUAAUCUAUUAUGACUAGUUAGAUUAUGUCAUCUAUUAAAAGAAGAUAUUUUCUUUUCUAGUUUCAUUUUGUUAUAGUAUUUUACUAUUGUAAUACAAUCAGUUCUUACGGUAAAUUCAUCUUUUCCUAGUAUAAAGAGUUCGAAUGAUUCUAGUGCAUAUCUUAUGGCUAAUAAUUCGGCAUCUAUGCCUUCUCUUGAUAAGACCCUGAUGAUUAUCUACAUAUUUUUUCCUCCCCUUUAUUAGAUAGCUUAUGUGGCUUUUUAAGUAACAUUGUUCCCCAUCCGAAGGCAGAACCAUCAAUUUCUAUCAUUAAAUAUUCCGAACAUAAGGGUAAUUCUAAUUUAGGUAAGUUUUUAACUAAGUCUUUUACUUUUUUUACUUGUUUUAUGUCGUCAUUAUCGAAUUGCCUUUUUUCCAGUUUUCCUAGUCUUUUGGUAUAUAGGU
rnacentral:lncRNA from 1 species